rnacentral:lncRNA from 1 species
CUAAAAUUGCUUAUUAUUUUGAUUACUUGCAAUUGGUAUACGACAAAUGUAUUUACUAUUUACUUUUCUUUAAAUUAUUCUCUAUUAAUAUCUUACUGUAAUUACUUGUUUCAUGUAUAACAUAUGUGCUUAAUAUGUUUUACUAUGUUUAAACAUGUAAUUAUUGAUUGAUAAGGAGGUUAUCAUUUGAGAGUUCCAAAACAUGAAAAUAUGAAAAUAGGUAAAAAAAAAUGUUGUAUUAAUUAUUAGUUUAAAGUUUUUGUUAGAUUUAUCAUGGAUUAGGUUGCCCUUCCUGAAUUUAAUUCUUGGUUCCGCCGCCAUUUGUAAGUGAUUCUUAAUGCAUUGCUUCUGUUCCAAUGUGUGGGUGUUAUUGUACGUGAUCAUGUCAUUGUUUAUAGAAAUUACAGAGGCUGUUUCUGUGGGUGGUUUGGUGGGUGCUUGUAUAGGAGAAUGCCGAAUGAUAUCUAUCCUUAAAUAUUUAUAUUUCUUCAUGCAUCACUGGACUUAAGUUGCAACCAUCAACUUUAAAUAGAGUGAACAACAUGAUGUGCAAUGGUAACUAGGUUUGUCGGUUGCUGAUUGUGGAGUUAUGAGAAAUAUAAAUUGUACACAUGUUAUAUGUUUGUGAUGCUGAUAGACUAUACAAAUGGUAAAUUCAUGUAAAUUUUCAUGUACAUUAUGUAGUUGUCUCCGAUAUUGGGGUUCUUGUACAUGCCUCUGUUGAGCCCGACGAAGAUGGUCUAAUAUAUCUUUGUAGUUCUUUCUUUUCUGGUUUCCAUACACAGUAGUUCGGAUGGAACUUCAUUGACUUGAGUUUCUUUCUAAAAGCCUAUUGUGUUUCUGUGCAGAGAAUACAAGUGGGUGCUAGUAGAGUACUAUCUAUGUUAUUCAUUAUAGCAGAUUCUUCACAACCAUAUUUAUUUGGGAAUAGAUGCUUUGGUUUGGAUGAUAAACAGGUAUGGUAUUUUGGUCUUUGAGCUUAUUCUUUAAGUUUUCUUGUUCUUUGAUUGACUACUUUGUUUUCAGAUUACAGAUUUAAGGCAUUCUAUUGAUAAGAUUCUAAGUGACCAGUCUUCUUGGAAUGAAGAUCUCUUUGUUGCUACAGUCAAAUUGCUUACUUCUGCUGCACUUCAUCAGGUUUGUUUUUUCAUAUGCCAUCUCUUAAGACUGCUGCUUAAAUUUUCCAAAUAAAUUGAGAUUGCAAGUAUUCUUUCUGAUUUUUCAGUGACCGGCUCUUGAAUAUGAUGUCAAAUAAUAUUCUGGUGAUAUUAGCUCAGAGAAAACAUUAAUUUUUGGGCCACAAAUAUGUAUUAGUUUGUGUUUAUGAUAUUCUUAAUGAGGUUUCAACCUUUGCGGAUUCACAAAAGCAAUGAUAGCUUCAGGUUUCUGAAGUAAACAUUAUUCUGUUAGUACUAUGUAUGGUUCUCUAGUUUUGGGCUUCUAUUUUUGUAGGCUUUAUACAGUUUGUUUGCUUGUGUGAGUUUUUUUUGUGAGAAUACUAAAUGAUCCAAGGGCAACUUGGUUCAAUCCUUUAACUUGAAAGCACAAUGCAGCCAAGCUCAGCCUUCUUAUGGCAUGCAUCUGUUCCUGUUUGAGGACCACUUAGAUUGUCUUUUCCUCUCAACCUUAUGUUUGUUAAGUGAAUAAUGUUAUUAAUUUCUACUUCCAGUCAUUGUUUCCAUACUAAUGGUUUCUUAGCGCAGCCUGCUUUUCUUGUUGCCAUAAUUGCUGCCAAAGACAAUCUAGGUUUGAAGCAGCCAGUAAAUGAAGCUUCCUUUGGAACACUGGGGUCUGUCAAACCAAGUUUGGUGGAUGCACUCUUGCAAGUUAUUGAAAGAUCUGAUGAUCUUAUCAAUAGGUAUAUUGUCUAAUGAGUAUGGCCUAUUUGUUAGUAUUUCAUUGUAAUUGUGCUUCAUCUGAUUUUGUGAAUGUUUGUUUGGUGUGCUUAAUCUAGUUUCUCUAUCUGAAAGGUUACAUAUUUUAAUUUGGUGAAUUUCCUUUAUUUCCAGCAAUCCCCGUUUACUACUGAAUGUGCUUAACUUACUGAAAGCAUUGUGGCAAGGGGCUGCUCAAUAUGCAGAUAUUUUGGAAUGGCUGAAAAACUCUGAAAAGUUCUGGAAACUAUUUUGCAACUCCAUUUCUCUAAUUGCUAGAAUGAAAGCUCCCCUGCCUGAAAAUCUUACUGAAAUGGAGGCUCUAAGCUUGGCAUACAAAUACCAGUGUCAAACAGCUGUAUUGGAAAUAAUGGCAGAAGACUUGUUCCUGCAGAAGAAGUUACUGCAUGCUGAAUUUCUUGUAAAACUUGCUGCUGAAUCAUCAAAGGAAAAGACAGGAACCACAGUUGGUUUGGAAAAAUCAAGAUCUGAAAAUUUACACCAUCUUAAGGAUGUUUUGUCAUCCUGGUGUGAGAAUUCAGUGUUGGUUGACCUGAUCAAGUCAUAUGCAUCUUGUCAAUAUGACACUGAAAUAUAUCUCCGUGCAAAGGUGAAUUUUAUCUCGUCUUUUCUUUAUAGCUAUAAAUGCUACUAGUAACAAUAACUAAACACUAUUGCUGUUCGGAUGAGUCUCUGCUAUUCCCUUUCUUGGGUUAAUCACUUUUGAUCAUAUAAAAACUGCAUUACAUAGAAUCGAAUAAUUUGAUCUUUAACUUAACAUCAGAAUGCUGAAACCAACUUCAUGGUUAUUCGAUAUAGUGUACAUUAAUGCCAGAAUACUCCUUUAUUUAAAUGCAUUAACUGGUAGUCUGUAAGGCUUGAUGAUUAUAAUUGAAUGGAAAAAAUGGACUCUCAUUGCUGACCCAGGUUGUUGAGAUUAAGGGUUGUGAUGAGGAUGAGCAGAUGGCUCUUGUAUUUUGUUUUGAAGCUGAUAGGCUGAAAGUACCCAUGCACUUUCAUGAUACCAAACCAUCCAUGUCAGGUUCCAGAUUCCAAUCAUUUCCUUUGAAUUCCUCCCUAGCUGAUAUGUAUUGGCCCCCUUAUUGUUUUUCCUUUUGCUUGCUGGAUUAGACUUCUGUUUUCUAGUAAAUUGGUGCUUGUAUCACUGUAUGUGCACAAAACAGCCACUUAUGGGUGCUGCUUUUUUUAGCUACAACCACAAAGGAAGAACUUUCUUUUUACUUUCAUCCCUAGCACCAGUUCUUCUUCCCUAUGGGUCAAAUAGUUUCCAUCCAUCUGCCCCAUUAUUUGUGCAAGGUCUUGACAUUUGGUUGCCAUUUCUGAUGUUUUAUAUAUUUCACUACUAAUUUUGUUAUAUAAGAUGGUCCAUUUUUAGUUGGCCAUUGUGAACUAUUUCUCAUGGAAUAUUGUUGAAGUGUUUCAAGUUACUGGGAAAUAUAUAUUAAACUGUUUUUCUAAUGUCUAGAAUUAACGCUAUUUAUUAGAUUCAUUCAAACAAAUGUUGUCAAGUUCUAGCCUAGGAAGUCACUAGGCUUGUCUGGGAUCUUUUCCAUGACUGGGUGAGUGGGUGCCUACUAGGUGCUCUCUUAGGGUUCUCUGUGCCUCUCUUUACUUAGCAAGCACACUGCAUUCUUUAUUGAUGAGCAUUGUUGUGGAUUAUUGCUAGUUGUUUCCUCUUGACUAUUGUCUUUUCCAUAUUCUAAAAGUAAUAAUCAUAUCUAGUGAUGAACAACUUUGUAGAUUGCUGCCAGUUUAUUCAUUGUGCAUGUGAUGGGAAAAUUAGCAACAGGUGAUGCGGGGAGUUUGUCUGUCUCAUUACUUGAAAAGCUACAUAGUAUGAAUAAAAAGGUGUAAUCCUAUCUCUAAUCUGUUACUUUGUUAUUUCCUGUAACUUCUCUCUGUUGAUUUUGACAAUACUCUUUUGAAGUCACAUCUUAUCUUACUCCAGCAUUUGGUUGUAUUUCUGCUUGCAGCUGGGCAAUCAGCCUGCUUUCUCUGAAUUGUUAUCUCAAUAUUCCCAGCGGGGUUACAGGUACAAUGUACAUAAUAUUUUCAUGUUCUAGUGCAGUAUUUUAUUUUGGUGUGUCACUUCUAAAUAAGACACCCAUGAGUUCACCCAAAUCAACAACUAGGCCUUUGAAAAAGUACUAUCUCAAAUCCCCAUGUGGUCUUCAUCCCCCUCCAUGCGAAGUAUAUUCUACCCCUGAUUGAAAUUUCCUUUUCCUUUUCCUUUUAAAGCUGUCAUAAAACAGUAUUUCCUUUUGCUUAUAGUGAUCUAAGUCAAUGAUUUUGCAUUAAAUCCUGAGGCUAGGUGAGUGAUAUAUGAUCCAUUGCUUUGUAAAGCAGCACAUGGAAAAUAGUCAGCUUAAUGGUUAUAAAGUAUGAUUAUAUCCAUGAUCCACUGACUAGUGGAAUUACCUUUUGUUAUCUAGAGUUGUUUCUGUUAUUCUCUCAUGUCAUAUUGUUUCUUGUGCACCUAGCAGUCACGUGUGUAUUUAAUUUUAUUUUUGUAUAUUAUUUGCCUUUUGUUGCUGAUGAUAGACAUUGUUGCAGCUUAUAUUCCUCAUGCUUAAUUUCUAUUUGUCAUGUGCUACCCUGCAAAGUUGUUUGGCACUCUGCCAUAUGCUUGGACUGACAAAUUGUCAAAGCUUUUUUUGUUGAUAAGUGACAAAUUAUCUAGGCAUUCAUCUGGCAUAAUGCUUAUACAGUGGAUUCUGUUUGUUUAUUCAGCCUCAUUAGUCUGUGUAUUCAUUUUGUUGCAUCUGCUGGUGCCUUAGUAAAUUAUUUUAGUUCUCAGGAAGGAAAUGCUUUUCCUGGUAGUAAUUUUUAAAACAACUUUUCAUUUUGUGCUGUUGGCAAAUCAUCGUUUCUUUUUAAUUUCAGUGAAGGGAAGGAGCUGAAUAUUUUAAUACUCAGUGAUCUUUAUUAUCAUCUUCAAGGAGAGCUUAAAGGCCGUAAAAUUGAUCCUGGGCCAUUCAAAGAACUUGCCCAGUAUCUACUGGAUUCACAAUUUUUGCAAAAUUAUCGACAUGAGUAUGAUGGUGACCUUUUUGCACCUGCUAAAGAUGUUCACUUGUUUGACACCAGUCAUUUACAAGCAGAUUUAGGAUUAGCUAUGUGGGAUCAUUCACAGUGGAAAGCAACUAAAGAAAUUGCAGAAACAAUGUUGCUUUGCAUGAAGGAAGCUAACUCAAUGGUGUUGCUCACUGGAUCAAAGCUUUGUUCAUUGAAAGCAUUGAUAACCAUCUUGACCAUGUAUGAAGAAGAUGUAAGUUCUCAGAUUGGAUUUAGCUCUUUGUAUGCUGGUCAUAUUUUGAACUUAUCAGUCUGAAGGACCAUAAGCAUUUUUGUUUUUUCUGAAUGUCUUAUUAUUAUAUAAUAUUGAUUUAAGGUCCUUGUGCAGUUAAGUGAGAGAAAGACUACAAUAGGUGGGGCGAUCCCUGAGCAACUCAUUCUAUCGUGCAUAGAUCAUGUGUGCCAAUGUUUCCAUGGCACACUAGAAUCAUUAGCUCCAGUUCUCGAUGCUCCUGAAGAUAUGCUUGAUUUCCUUGCAGCCCAAGCUGAACUACUUCUCCGUCUCAUUAGAUUUGUAAACAAAAGUCUGCCUUUACCUGUUUGUGUACUUGUUUUAAAAACCUCAGGUCAUGGCCUUAAAGUGUUGGGUAACUUUAAGCCAUCUGUUCCUGAGGUUAGAACAACAAUGAAGCUCUUACUCAUGUUGCUUCUCUCAUCACUUGAGUUCAGCUCUCUCAGUUCACUUUUAGGUGGGUUGUCAGAUAAGAAAUCUGUUGAAGACUUAGCUGAAGCAUCUAGUGUGAGUUUGGGGCUAUUACCUAUUCUCUGCAACUGCAUCGGAACUGCUGAGAAUUGUGUCCUCUCCCUGACAACUAUUGACUUAAUACUGAAAGGCUUCUUGACACCUAACACUUGGUUCCCCAUCAUACAAGAACAUCUCCAGUUGCAGCAUAUUGUUCUGAAACUUCAAGAUAAAAGCUCUCUUGCUUCCAUUCCCAUAAUUUUGAGAUUUCUUUUGACCCUUGCACGUGUGAGAGGAGGUGCUGAGAUGCUUCUUACUGCUGGCUUUUUCUCAUCUCUGAGAGUGUUGUUUGCUGACUUAUCAGCUGGUAGGCCAUUUUCAGUUAUUCAAAAUGGUACAAGUCACUCCAACUCAUCUGAGAAUUUUGAAAAGCCUCAGCAUGUUUGGGGUCUAGGCUUGGCUGUAGUCACAGCAAUUAUUCAUUCUUUGGGAGGCAGUUCCUUGUGUGUCAAUACUGUUGAGAAUGUAAUUCCUUACUUCUUCUCUGAGAAAGCUUAUUUGAUAUCAUAUUAUCUUAAUGCACCAGACUUCCCAUCUGAUGAUCAUGACAAGAAAAGAGCUCGGGCUCAAAGGACAAGGACAUCUCUUGCUGCUCUUAAGGAAACAGAGCAUACUCUAAUGUUAAUGUGCGUGCUAGCAAAGCACUGGAACUCAUGGGUUAAGGCUGUGAAAGAAAUGGAUACAGAGCUAAGGGAGAGAAGUAUUCAUCUUUUGGCCUUCAUUAGCCGGGGAACUCAACGCCAUGGAGAAUCACCCAGCAGGAUUCCACCUCUCUUGUGUCCUCCUAUGCUCAAAGAGGAUUUUGAUUUUUACAAGAAACCAGCAUUUGUUAACAGCCAAAAUGGAUGGUUUGCUCUUUCUCCUCGUGGUUGUUUAUCAAAAUCUAAGUUCUCAUCUGUCUCAAUCAAGUCAACUGCUCUUGUAGUCAAGGAUCAAUCAUCUGAAAAUUUAGAUGUUUCUCAGACACACUUCUCAGAUAUAGUAGCCUUGCAGAUCUAUAGAAUUACAUUUCUUCUAUUGAAAUUUCUCUGUUUACAAGCUGAGGGUGCUGCUAGGAGGGCCGAGGAAGUGGGAUUUGUAGAUCUUGCUCAUUUUCCUGAACUUCCAAUGCCUGAGAUUUUGCACGGCUUACAGGUACAAUGAUAGCAUUUAUUCUUGUACUAGGAUUAUGUCCACCCUACUAAAUUAUGGGAUGUUUAUAGAUUUGUUAGUGUUUUACAUUUGAAGCCUGGCUUACCAGCACCUCCUCAGGGCAAAAACAUCUGGUCUUCCAAAUUUUAAUCCAAGAAAUGAUUGAAAGUCAGUAAAUGGAUUAAGGAUUAAACCUUUAUUGUUAGUCUUAUGUUGAGUUCUUAUUCCUCUGAUGCAGGAUCAAGCCAUUGCCAUUGUCACUGAACUCUGUGAGGCCAACAAAUUAAAGAAGAUCGAGCCUGAAGUCCAGAGCACAUGCCUCUUAUUACUGCAAAUAAUGGAAAUGGCCUUGUACUUGGAACAAUGCGUUUCACAGAUUUGUGGAAUCAGACCUGUUUUAGGACGCGUUGAGGAUUUUUCCAAGGAAGUCGUCCUGUUAAUUAGAGGUAACACCAUAAUUUUCAUUCUGCUAACUUCUAACAAUCAUAAUAAUGUAAUUUUCAAACUCCCAUGCCUCAACAUGAUCUUAAAAUCUUGAUUGUUUUUGGAUGUUUUGCAGCAACGGAAGGACAUUCCUUUUUGAAAGCAGCAGUAAAGUCCUUGAAGCAGAUUAUAUCACUUGUGUAUCCUGGACUAUUACAAACUGAGGGCCUCUUGUGAGCUGUCAGGUGCCCCUGUAGAUCUAGGUGAACUCUGUAGCUUUAAAAACUCAUGUAAAAUGUGUAAAGAUUCCUUUUCCCUUUAUGAAUUUUGGACCCUUUCCCAGCCUUUCUUUUUGUGAUUCCAAUUCAUAAAGAGCUCUUUUCCACAACGAGCAUAUGCCCUCCAGUGGGGUCUGUAAGCUCUCUAGCCACCCAUGAAUCCAUUUCCAGUUGGAGACAUCUUUCUUCAGUCAAACCACUUGCACAGCUUUGUUUUUUUGUAAUAAUUAUUUCCCCUCCAUUAAGGCCCAUGUUUCAUCUUUAAACAAAUCCAAAAUUUCAAAUUGCCCCUUUCUUUGUUUGUUUGCAGGAGCUAGGAUUUCGAUCUCAAUCACUGCCCUGUGUGUAUACUUUUUGUUCUGGUUGAAUAGAAUUCUCAUGAAAAACCUUGGCAUGAAGGAUGAUUUUAAAAAUAAAGAAAUAAAAAAAGACAGCUCCAAUAUUCAAACAGAGCUUCCUCAUAAGUCAAUUGAAUUUUAUUGUUUGAUAAUAUAAGUAGGAGCCCAAUUUCUAAAUUGCUUCGAUAAGAAUGUAUAUAAGUGGAAUAUUGGGUUCAUGAGAUGGGUCCCGAGUAUGGCACCCAUGUCUCCAAUCUGAACUAAAUUGGGCCUAGAUAGCACGUGAUCGACAAACAACAGUCAGUACCUUUAAUUGUAACCGUACAACGACGUCGUUUUCAUUAUCUGGAUCUAAUCCACGUAGGCACCGAAUAAUCCAAAAGCAUAUACCACGUGCCCAUAUAUAUAUAUGCUACCGCCUCAUCCGCAACUAACCAGAGUUAAAAAAAAAAAGGUUGACCAUAGUUGCUGUAAUAAUCCACCUUUCUUAAUCUUAAUAUAUGGACACGUGUCCAAACCCAACGGCCACGAUUCGCCCCCUGCAGAUAUUGCCAAUGGAAGGCCACUAUAUAAUGAAUCUCACCUUCUCCAACAGACCAGGUUGCUCUAGACGCAGUUUUAGAGAGGGAGAGAGAGAGAGAAUCGUAGCUCAGCAAAAAUGACGAACCCUAGGGUCUUCUUCGAUGUCUCCAUCGGCGGUGCUCCCGCCGGUAGGAUUGUGAUGGAGUUGUACGCUGACACAACUCCACGAACCGCCGAGAACUUCCGCGCCCUCUGCACCGGCGAGAAAGGCGUCGGCCGGAGCGGCAAGCCUCUGCACUUCAAAGGCUCAAUCUUCCACAGAGUGAUCCCAAGUUUCAUGUGCCAGGGCGGCGACUUCACCAGGGGCGACGGCACCGGCGGCGAGUCCAUCUACGGUGCCAAGUUCGAGGACGAGAACUUCAUCAAGAAGCACACCGGUCCCGGCAUACUGUCGAUGGCGAACGCCGGUCCUGGAACAAACGGAUCGCAGUUCUUCAUAUGUACGGAUAAGACGGAGUGGCUGGAUGGGAAGCACGUGGUGUUCGGCCAGGUGGUAGAGGGGAUGGAUGUGGUGAAGGCCGUUGAGAAGGUAGGCUCAGGCUCCGGAAGGACCGCCAAGACCGUGAAGAUCGAGGACUGUGGUCAGCUCUCUUGAAAUGCUGUUCCUCAUCCCCUACUCUCUUUACUAUUUCUGCGGUAUUAGCCUGUCUCGUCUAGCCUCUGAGUCCUGGUUGUCACCUUACGUUUCAUGUGUCUGUCCCUGUCGUUUGGUAGGUUGCACAAACCUCCAUAUCUCUAUGUAUUGCAGUGAACUCCUCAAUAAGCUAGUGCAUUUGGUCUACUUGUAACAAAACUCUCGUCUUGUCUUGUCUUCUCUCGCAUGAUCCAAAAUAAAAAUUUUAGAAAAAUGAAGCAAAUGAAAAUAAAACAAAAAUGGAGGCGAAAAUCCUUUUGGAGGAUCAGGCCAUCAAAUCAAGGCGGAAAGGAUAAAUGUGGCGCACCACCUGCGAUGGUGGACCCACACGGAUAAAUCUUUACACAAAGUCUGAGACAUGGUUAAAGACUUAAAAUCAACCACAAGGCCUGUAUUUCAUGGGAAGCUUCCUCUAAUCCCUUGACAAAGAACAAAGGAUAAGUAAAAAGAAUGGAGAAGGAAGCUUCAUUUGGUUUUGGUUUUGGUAUUUGGAUUUUCCAUCAGAUUAGAUGUUUUAGAUUGGAUUUUAGGUCAUAGUUGUAUACCUACAAAACUAUUCUUCGGGUCAAAGCCAGAAACUUUCAAGCAGAUUUUCUAGUCGAAUAAAACAAACACUUUCUUAAUUCUUAAUCAUUAAGUUCUCGUUUGAAAGUUGAAAAGAACAAAAUGGGGUAGUAGAAGAAAAUGUAGAGAAAAAAAAAAAAAAAACCCUUUUUCUUUUUCUUUUCAAUUACAUGGGAGAUUUUUUUUUUUUUAAUAUAUUUAUUUUAAGUUUUGGGUUAAAAGAACCGAAGGACGCACUCACGGGGAUAAAAAGAGUAACGUCUGGAACAAGCGACAUCAUUUGACAACAAAUCAAGCCAUCGUAUAAAUUUAACAUAAUUAUUACUUUUUUUUUUUCAAAAACAUAAAAUAUAAAAAUAAAUACAUAAAAUAUAAAAUUAAUAAAUUAUUUAAAAUAAAAAAAUUUAGACUCGAUAAUAAUUUUAGAAAAUAUUUAUAAUAUUUAAAAAAUUAUUAUUUAAAUAUUAAAAACGUUUUUUAAAAUACUCUUAUUUUUUUCAAUAAUAAUAAAAUUAAAUAAAUAAAUAAAUUAAAAUGAAAACCUUUAAAUUUUUUUCUUUUAAAAAAAAAAUUAAAGACAGACAUUACUCACCCAUUUUUUUUUUCUUUUUUUUUUUUUUUUGUUUUUGCAUUCGUUGGCAUCCUGGUUGUCCCAUUAUGGCUCUAGAAUCCUAAUCUUCUAUGAAAUUACAUAUUUGACCCUAUAUUUGGUCUAUUGUUACAAUCUGUUAAGGGUGUUUUUGACAUUCCACCGGGAGCAGACUCCACAUUGCCACGUGGGCGUUAAACAGUGAACGACAAGGGAUCCGGUAGCAACAUAGUUAAGCGACGCCGCGAAGGAGGCGAUCCCGCCCUAGCCCAACCUGCAUCACUGUACGGACGCGAGAAACUUCCGAACAAGACGACGAUGACGACGACUGCCACUGCGUGUGUUUGGUGAAGAGAGAGAGGGCGCUUCCGCCAUUUGAGAUCCCCAUCCACACACGCACACUCUCUCUUUCUCUGUCUGUCUGUCUGUCUGUCUCUCUCUCUCUCUCUGUAUCUGCUAAUUCUGAACCCGCCGGCCGACGUUACUGCGGUUUUGGCGGGAAUUCUUAUCGGAUUUUCAGCUUCUUAUUUUUGGAGAACUGUGGUUGUCGGUGAUCUCAACUAUUUGAAUUGGUGGGGUUUUGGGGAGUGGGAGAAAGAAAUGGGGGUGUCGGACAAUACGAGAGGAUUGAUACUGGCAAUGGCGUCGAGCGCUUUCAUUGGCUCCAGCUUCAUCUUGAAGAAGAAGGGUCUCAAGCGCGCUGCUGAUUCCGGUACACGCGCAGGUGAGCUUGAUUGUGAUUAUGUAAUUCAAUUGUGAUAUCAGUUGUUCUAUGUGUCUAUGAUGUUGGAUUUUAUCAUACGAAUUUCUAAUCUACCUUCCCGGAGCUCAUUCACUGGGGAAUUGGAGGAAAAUGAAAAUGUUGUUGCUCCCUUCAUUAUUAUCAGUAAGAUGGGGAAAGACGAGGAAGGAAAUGAAAAUUGGAAUCUACAUAAUUCUAAACUCACUGAUUUGAAGGCAAAUAUUGUGUUCAUAUUUACUGUUUUCUUGUUCAGGGGCACAAUCUGGUUUAUUAAUCGGGUCCAUUAUGUCAAUUAGAAAUACUAGUGUGUAUCUGGGUAAUUCUUCCGCUUCAAAAAAUAAAGGAAAAGUGGAAAAAAAAAAGUGUUCCUUCUGAGCAAGCUGAAGCUAGGAUUGGUUUCUAUCGAUAUAGAAGUACCCUAAGACAAUUGAAACCUUAUUUUCAUUUUAGAGAAAUGCUGGAUAAUUAAAACUACCCAAAACUUGAAUCUUAAAUUUUUGUGAUGGUUCAAGAUUUCAUGAUGGUGGGAGGGUUCCAUUUUGGCCACUCUCAGUACCAUAUACAAUAAGGUCAUAUCUGCCUUUCUAAAUCAAUUGACACAUGAAUAAGUUUUGCACUUAGUAUGUUGGUUUAAAAUUAAUUACUUUGUUUAUGAACCGAAUGGAUCAUUUUAUUUGAAUGCUGCAUGCUUCUUUUUGUUCAUAUAAUGAACUUUCAUUUUUUAAUAAUGUAGGAGUUGGAGGUUACACUUACUUGCUUGAGCCUCUUUGGUGGGCAGGAAUGGUUUUGAGUAAGUAUAUUGAACAUCACUGCUAGUUAAUUCUUUUUUCCCUUCCAAUUAUCAUAUCACUUAAAUGAUAAUGAUACUUCCGGUGCACUGUGUUUGCCACUAUAUCUCUGUAGCUGGUUUUUUGUUUCUUACUUGUAUACUUCCGGUAUACUAUGUUCACCACUUUAGUUUGACACUCUUUAUAUAUAUAUAUAUAUAUACACACACAUACUCUCUUAUUUGCCUAUCAAGAAAAAAAAUUCUCUGAAAUGAUAGUCGGUCAAUGUAUAUUAAUCUUGGAUUGUGAAAUUUCUUGUCAAAUAGUGAUUGUUGGAGAGGUUGCAAACUUUGUUGCCUACGUUUAUGCUCCAGCAGUUCUGGUGACCCCCCUUGGUGCGUUGAGUAUAAUUAUUAGGUAAUAAUGCAGGUGCUUCAAAGGUCUUGUUUGUGCUAAAUUAUUAAAAUAAAAGUGGAAUUUUCUUUUUCUCUUUUAUUUUAGAACUAACAUGUUUGAUAUAUGUGAAUAGUGCCAUUUUGGCGCAUUUCAUGUUGAAGGAACGGCUACAGAAAAUGGGUGUUCUGGGAUGUGUUUCAUGCAUUGUGGGAUCAGUAGUGAUUGUAAUCCAUGCACCUCAAGAACACACUCCAAAUUCGGUACAAGAAAUCUGGGCUCUGGCAACUCAACCAGGUUCCGGGUUUAGACAUUUCUUUUUAUCUUAAGUUCUACUCUUUUUUUUCACCUUAUUAGUUGAAGAAAUAACUAAUGCUUUUGUUGCUUUUCUUUUUCUGUUGACAGCAUUUCUAAUAUAUGUAGCAGCUACAUUAUCCGCAGUAUUGGCUUUGAUCUUGUAUUUUGAACCUCGAUAUGGACAGACAAAUAUACUGGUUUACUUGGGCAUUUGUUCAUUAAUGGGUUCACUUACGGUAAUUAUGUUGCCUUUUUAAGUCUCCAAGUAGCUAGGGGCACUCUGUUUUUUGGAGGUUUAUGGCUUUUCAUUUCAUUGUAACAUUUGCUACUCUGUUCGGUGCUCAGUCUUUGGAACAUUUCUCUUGCUGUUCUGCAGGUUGUAAGCAUAAAGGCUAUUGGAAUUGCUAUAAAGCUUACUCUGGAGGGGAUAAGUCAAGUUGCUUAUCCUCAAACUUGGUUUUUCCUUACUGUUGCAGCAGUCUGUGUCAUCACGCAGUUAAACUAUCUGAAUAAGGCAAGUCUAGCAUUAUCAAUGCUGGAAGUGUUAUGAUUUUAAUAAUGUUUAUUUCUAUUCUUUAGUAAGUCAUUGCUUUCUUGUUUUUGAGUAUUUGACCUAUGGUUCAAAGUUACAGUAUUUUCACUGACUUAGUAGGUCCCAAGGCAGAUUAUAUUGAGCUAUAUGUGCAAUAUGUUAGUUAAAAGCUCAAAAACUUAUAAAAAGAGUAGUGAAAAUUCUUAGAAAAAUAAUUACAAUUUGAUUGACUCGACAACUAAUAGCAAAGAAACCAUCUAUCAUAUUUGAUUGAUUCAAUAGUUAUAAAAGCAUCUGUUAUCCCAGUUUUACACCCAAUACUGAUUUUUGAUUACUGUUAUAUCAACACAUUGAAAUUUUAACUUGCUGAAAAAAAAAUUAGUUUGUGCUGUCAAAAAAAGAAGAUAAAAAAUAGAAAGAAAUGUGUUUAAUAACAACUUGAUAAUUGUCUGAAAAUAAGUAAUUAUGAAUUUCUUGUUCAUAAUAAUUUGUUGAAGUGUUUUUUCUUGUUCCUAGUCAAGGAUUGAGACAUUUUCCUUGAUUAAUGUGGAGAUUCUAUGAGAAAUGCAAAGAUUCUCGGGAUUUUUACCCCCUCUCAUUUGCAUUGGAUCCAAAUUGAGUUGUUACAUCAAGUUUUAUCAUGAGUGAGCCAAGAUGAGUGAUUCGUAUUCGAGUUAGGACUAAAUUGCUAUUGAACUACACAAUACUCAAUUUGCGUCUUAGACUAGCUGCAGUCUUAUCAGAGAAUCAUGACUUGACUGUCUCUCUAUAAGACAUUAAUUCUCAACUUAGCAUAUUAUUUUUCAUUAAACCUUGACAAUCAUGCCUUAAAAUGCCUAUCUGCUAUGUUGCAUGCUUACCCGCACUAUUUAACACAUGAAAAAUCAUAUAUCAUGUUUUGAGAUUUUGGGUUAGUUACAUUGAUUAUAUAAGGUAUAGAUGAUUUCAAUGUGUCCAAAGUCAAAAAAAUACUUGGGAUGCAUCUCAUGCUUGCUAGUUAGCGUAUUGCUGUAUUUAAAAUAUUUUCCUUGGAUUUUGGACAUGUUUUGGAAACUUACAACAAGUGAACAAUUAGGUCAAAGAACCCUAUGCAUUGUUGCAGGCAAUAGUCAUUCCCAGGAGACUACUAUAUGCCAUAUAUGAUGUAUUGUUGUAUAGAGGAUUGCAAUCUCUAGCACUGCCAAAUCUCCUGAAACUUAACAAAGCAAAAAACUUCCAAUCCAUUUGCUUCUUGCUUGCCCAUCCAAUUUAAUUCAAUUUUUGUACCCUGUUGAUUAUAUUGCAAGCCUGUAGGGCUUUACAGAAGAUUGAUGCAUUUUGGUUUUCAACUUCCAGUUUUCAAUACCACCAUGUUAAUUAAAUAUAUUUCUCAAGCUUACAAUAUUUUGAACCUAGAAGUGCUUGAUGACCAUCAUGAUACUUCAUUUGCAAUAGUCAUAAUUAAAAUUUUAUCUAGGAAUCUGCAAAACUUUUCAGUCAUUGUGAUUGAACUUUCCCUAGCUCCCUUAAUGUUGACAAAAAUCUGAAAGCUGUGAUUCCACUUUAUUGAGCUGAGAUGUGUAACUUACACAAGCUUGAAUGAUUAUGUUGUGUGCCAUUUCUCCUAAUUGGUUUGUUAGCUAUUUGGUGAAUGUAGUUUAAGUGAACAGGCUCUUGCAAUUCUCGUGUUGGCUGAUGUUUAUAGCUUCUUUGUUCCAGGCGCUGGAUACAUUUAAUGCAGCAAUUGUUUCUCCAAUUUAUUAUGUCAUGUUCACAACUCUGACUAUAAGUGCAAGUGCAAUAAUGUUCAAGGUAGAUUGCUGAAUCUAUUUACUUGGUGUUGUUUCUGAAGCUGCAUUAUCGGGUUCUUAUGAUUACAAGAAAUAAUGAGCAUAAAUCUUAUUCUUUGCAUGUGCUCUGCAGGAUUGGUCAGGUCAGAAUGCAAGCAGCAUAGCUUCAGAGAUAUGUGGAUUCAUCACUGUCCUUUCAGGAACAAUCAUACUGCAUGCAACAAGGGAACAGGAACCAGCUACUGCAUCAGGUACAAAUUGACCAAUUUAUUUUUAUUAUUAUUAUUAUUUUUAUCUUACAGACCCAAGAUUUUAGUCCCAAGGAUUGUCCUUUGUUAGUCCAAAUAUUUAUCCUCCAAAUACAGAUCAGCCUAAUUCUUACGCAUCUAUCUGUUAGAUCUGUAAGCCAUUCUCAUAAAGCAGUUAUGAACAUAAGUUACAAAUGAGGUAGCAGAGUGCAGCACAAUUUCAAGCUGAGUUCAUUGUCAAAUUAGCCUGUUGACUAAAAUAUCGAUGCUGAGUUCAUUCUUUCAACCUGCUUGGUCCAAUUCAGGUUGCAAAACUACUUUCCUUUUGAUGGGAACCGUAGUACUGAUAAAAGAAAUUGAAAAAUUACAAAAUUCCAUACAAGGACAGUUCCUUAUUUUCUUUUGAGAAGGAAAUUAAUGAAGGAUUUUUAACCACAUAAGCAUGCCUUUGGGAUGACUAUACCAUGCAUAUCUCACUAGAAAUGCUAUCUAAUGGAGAAGAAACUGCAAGUUUGUGCCGUAUUUUUUUUGGUCUUUUUACCUGAGGUCUUAGUUGGUGUGGCUGUUCUGAUUUUAGUUGGGCAUUUUCUUCUCCUCCUUAUUCUUUUCUUUUUUCGUCUUUCCCCCCCCUUUUUGUGGAACUGUCCAUAAAUGUUUUCCUUGAAAGAAUGAUACGUGGUUUGUUUAGAUAUGAGUUCUCUUCGCUUUGUUCUUUUAUUUCUUAAAUGAUUUUUUGGGCUGAGGCAAGGGCCUUUUCAGGUAUUGAAUAAUUUCUCAGAUUGGCCUGGGGAAUUAUGCCCAGAGAAUAUUCAUACAAGUAUUUCCUCCAAAAGAUGGGGGUAAAGACACUUGUCUCAUUUCUUUCUCCAUCUUUGCUUACCAGGCAGUUCUGGUUCAAGCCUGAGUAUUAAACCAGGGCUAGAUUCUGGCUAGUUGUGGAUUCACCUCCAUGUUGUCCAGCUAGUGAACAUUAUCGUCAAUCCAAGUCAUAUGAAAAGAUGGACACAGCCAUCUAAGCCCACUUUAUUCUGGAAGUUUGGAAAUAGAAUGAUCAUUAUACUGAAUGGUCUUCAGAUUGGAUGAUAGGCAGACUCUUUGACACAGAUGGUCUAGCUGAAAUAACAGAAUCAUUAGUGAGUUUUGUACUAGUUUUUUUUUUGUUGAUCAAACUACUUGUAGAACUGGCGUCUAUGAAAUCAUAAGGUACACUUGUGCAUUUAACUCCAGAGAGAGAGAGAGAGCCUUUCCUCCUUUUAACAUAGUUGAGCUUUACUCGAAUGUGCUAAUCCUUUGAAUCUGAUUAUUCUUCCGGUGAAUAAUGCAAUUUAUUAGGUUGUACACACCUUGCAAUUUAUUAGGUUGGAAGGUGGAGAAGAAGAGUUUCUGUCUGUUGCUUGUAAGGUUUUUGUACUUUGGUUUGUUUUGCAAGGGGCCUUGGUGAAGCAAGGUUAUGUGGAUAUUGGACAAGGUUAUGGUUUGGGAGCCUGCUUCUUUGUCUCACAGGGCUUUGUCUUUGUCUAGGGCCCCUUGUUGUGGGAUGGUUGGUUGUCUCUUUGUCUAGUGCUCCUUUUUUUGUGCUUUUAAUAUAUUUGCUUUUACCUAUAAAAAAAACUAUUCAAUUAUACUUACAUUGCUAACACCUUUCCUAUUCAAUGCAGGAACCAUAACAUGGUAUCUAAGUGGGGAUGCAAUGAAGGGUGUUGAAGAUGAACAUUUUAUCACUUUACACCAUUCUGAUUAUUUUGAGCAAUGAAUUUUUGCUUUGAAAUGGAUGGACAAAGAAAAUGAUCCCCGGCAAUGAAGCAACACAAUGCUGUGAUGUAGCAUUACACUAGUGCAUUUGCAGGGUGAAAGAGUUCCUCUCUUUCUCUUCACAAACUUGGAGAUUCAGGAUUUUUCCAGACGAUUUCUUUUCUAUGCAACCCUGUUGACAAGCUGCAGGGCAAGAUGGUUGGAAGAUGGGAAUUGCCAAACCAUUUGAAAUUAGGAAAGGAGGCUGCAGUUCCCUAUCAUUCAUGGCUGGUCCGAUAAUUGCCUUCAAAUUUGUACAUAUUUAUCCACAUGCUUCCAUUCAAUGAUAAUUUGAGUAUAGGGUUUAUUCUUUAGUUGAAUUGUAGUAGUACAUAGAUUAUUACUGACUCGUUUUGUCAAUCACUAAAUCAUCGGUGUGGAUACAUACUCUUGUAGAGUUGAAAAAGAUCAAUUGUAUGAACACUGAUCUGCAGAAACAUGGAAUCAUCUUUGCUUGUGUGUGCUUUCAUGGUGUGAUUUCAAGUUCAGUCUUCAUGUUUAGUCAUCAGUAGUUGCCUUGAAAACAGUUUUCUAAUUAAUGAAACAUAUUUGAUAAUUUUUUACCAAAAGCAUUUUUUGGAAACAUAUUAUUUUCUAUACCAAAUGGGGUUGCCUUGGUUUGUGAUUGUGCCUGAUGGACUAUAGAGAAAGCAUCGAGUUCCUGACUGCCCAUGAAUUCUAUUGCCUUAACGUUUAAGUUAAGUCUGUUUGAACUUUGAAGAGACUUUUGGCCUUGCAUGGUUGCCCAUGAUUGAUCAGCCAAAUUUGUGUUCUUUGAUAUAAAUUUGCAAGUCUAAUGACUAGUUUGGAAGUGAAUAUUGUAAAAUGCUGAAAUGGUGUUUAGGUUAAUAUAUUUUUAUCAUGAAGAGAUAAUAUUUAGAAAUCAACUAAAAUAUGUUUUUUAAAGUAUUUUUUUAUUAUAAAAUACAUGAAAAAUUUUAUUUUUAGAAUUUAAAGAUAAUAAUCUAGUUAUUUUUUUCUCCCUAAAUCACCUUUUUAAGAUGUCCAUCCCUUUAUUACCAAGCAAGAAUAUUCUUACAAUAAUAUUCAUUUUUUAACAUACCUUACAAAUUUUUUAUUCGCAAAAUUAUAUUCUUUUUUUUAAAAAGAUAAAAACGAUUUCUUCUUUAUAUAGAUAGAUAUAAGAUUUAUGAGACAAUUACUUAAAAGUACAUUUUGUGCAAUGACCUUUCCUAUAUGAUAGAAAAGGAUCCCAUGAUCUUGAAUCGAUAUUACUUGGGGAUGGCAAAUCCCAAGCUUGUCUAUGAAGAUCGGAUCAAUAAAAAAAUUAGAUGCAUAAUCUUUUAAUAAAUUUUAUCAUAUUUUCUCUUCUCAAAAAGGAAAAUAACUUUUCAGAUUUGUGAUAAGAAGCUCUUUUAGAUUACUUCUCCGUAUCAUGACAAUCACUUUUCCUUAGUCCAGGUGCUUCCUAAUACGGUACGGCCUUCCACUUCCUAUAAAAGCUCCGCUCUCCAUACACCAUCCAUCAAACAUACUUCAACAAGAGUUAACUUUCUCGCUUAUUGUAAUUAAAAUACCAGCGUCCAUCACAACCGUUGAUCGUGCUUACAACGUAAAGUAAACUCUGAUUAGGAAACCACCAAGCCUCAUCACCACCGUCGGGUUGAGCUUGAUCCAUCGAAAUCCAACCGUCGGAUCACGUCCCCGUUUCUCUAUAUAAGGCCCCACCUCCGCUGCCAACAGACGCAAACCUCAACCUAGCGAUUUUGCGAUAGAGAGAGAAAGGGAGAGAGUUUUAGAGAGAAACAAUGGCGGCAACAGUGUCUCCGUGGGGGAAGGCCGGCGCGUGGGCCCUAGAUUCAGAGGAGCAUGAAGACGAGCUUCUACAACAGCAACGAGAUGAUAAAGUUAAUGGAGAAUUUUCCGGCGGUGAGGGACGGCAGGCGCCGGAGGCUUCGGCAGAUUUUCCGACUUUGGCAACGGCGGCCGCUACGAAAUCCAAGAAGAAGAAAGGUCAGACCUUGUCGCUGUCGGAGUUUUCGGCCUUCGGCGCUGGGAAAUCGGCUCAGCCAAGCCAAACCAAGGGGCUGACUCAUGAGGAUUUGAUGAUGCUGCCUACUGGGCCGCGGCAGCGGAGCGCGGAGGAGCUGGACCGUGGCCGACUCGGCGGAGGGUUCAGGUCGUACGGUUCGAAUGGUUCGUAUGAAGGCGGGCGGAGUCGGUAUGGGGGCGGCGAGGAUUCGGCGAACCCUAGAUGGGGUCCUAGGGGUUCGGAGGAGAGGAGACAGGGAGGCUUUGGGAGGGAUUCGAGCAGGGAAUUGGCGCCUUCUAGGGCUGAUGAGAUCGACGAUUGGGGUGCGGCGAAGAAAUCGACGGUGGGCAAUGGGUUUGAGAGGAGGGAUAGAGGAGGGUUCUUUGAUUCGCAGUCUCGAGCAGAUGAAUCGGCCAGUUGGGUGUCGAAUAAAAGCUUCACUCCGUCGGAGGGACGAAGAUUUGGCGGCGGCGGCGGCUUUGAGAGUCUCAGAGAGAGAAGAGGGGGUUUUGAUUCUGCCUCGGAUGGUGGUGGUGGUGCUGAUUCCGAGUCCUGGGGACGGAAAAAGGAAGAGGGAAGUGGGAAUGCUAAUGGCAGUGCGGGAUCGAGGCCAAAGCUUAUUUUGCAGCCUCGGACAGUGCCGGUGAACGAUGGACAACAACCAGGGUCUGGGUCGGUUGCGAAGCCCAAGGGUCCAAAUCCUUUUGGAGAGGCCCGGCCGAGGGAGGAGGUAUUGGCUGAGAAAGGGCAGGAUUGGAAGGAAAUUGAGGAGAAGCUGGAGUCUGUGAAGCUUAAGGACGUGGGUUCGCCAGGCGUGGGGCAAACAGAUGGGCCAUCGUUUGGGAAGAGGAGUUUUGGAAGUGGUAAUGCGAGGGCGAGUUUGCCUGAAAGUAGGAGUGAGAAGAGUUGGAGGAAGCCAGAAUCUGAAGAUGUGAGGUUUGUGAAAUCAGCUGUUUGAUUGAUCUAAUUAUCCGAAUGGCAAACGCUUAGUUGUUUUAUAUUUCAAUUAUUGAACUGCUUAGUUUGAUUAGCAUUGAACUGCUUAGUUUGAUUAGCAUAUCUUUGCUUGUGUAUCUUUAUUGACUAAACACUUCCAAGUUUCUUUGAUUAAACCACAGAAGGAAACUCAUACUUGAUUAGCACUUUUGAAUCUUCUAUUAAAGCAUCAAUCUUUUAAUAAACACCACCUAUGUUAAUGCGGCUGCCUCAUGGGAAUACUCGCUUUGUUUAAAAAAUGUGGUUUUUGAUCAGUGCUUAAUAUUCCAUUCUCUUCCUUGGUGAAGAAAAGGUGGGAUCUUGGCCAAAAAAUUGACAUGCCUGUACCAUAUUUGAAUCUUCAUUAUACUAUUAGUAAAUGGAUAUUAGGUUUAACUGGCCAGUGGAUCUUUGGGUGUUAGAAGGUUGCAUUUAUAUAAGCAUCUUCAUAAGUGGGAAGGGUCAAAAGAAAAAUUUUCUUAUUCCACUACCCCUGGUUGUUAUUUGGGAUAUGAUUGAGAUGGGUUUGGUUGAAGUUUAUGUAAAUUGGAUCCCUCAUAAGCAUUGAACUUAGAAGUAGUGGUUUUAUUUGAUUGCAAGAUUCUUUCACCUAAAAUGUCAUAAGUUUUGUCUGGUGGUGAAUUUUUAUAGGGCAAGGCAUGAUGUAACUAGUGAAUAGAUUUCUGUUCAAUAGGUUCUAUUUAUUUCUGUCUGUGAAUUGUUGUUUCUAUUUGCAUUCCCUCUUGAAAACAAAAUUAUAUGAGCUUAUUUGUUGUAAGCAUGAUAAUUUUCUAUGAAUAAGUUUUAUGUCUUUAUUUGUAAGUUUGUAAAAUGACUAAGCUUUGGAUUGUUCAUUGGUGCAGCUCACUUGUUAAUCGUUGUUAGAUUACAAAUUGUAGCAAAAAAUAUCCUGUUAGCUUUCAGGGGGAAAGUUGUGGCUAUGCUCAAUUGGAUGGCCCUGCUGAUUUCUUUUUGUGAAACUAAUUUGUUUUUCUUCUUUUGGGUGUAGAGCUGCAAAAACUGAGGAUGAACAUGAAGAGAAAACUCAAGAUUGAGAUGCAUGCUGAUGGUUGACAGGAACAUUUCAAAAAAAAAAAAAAGAAAAAAAAGAAAAGAAAGAAAAGUAUCAACCUAUUAAAGACUAAGAUGUUGAAUUGAUGAGAUUAUAUUGGUUUCUCUGUUUUCUUUUCAGUGUUUUGCCCUAACUGUUAUUUCUAUGAUGCAGUAUGGAGACAAUUUUGGUAGGCAUUCUCAGUAGUUGCAGUUUUUAGGCCUAAAUGGCUUUUGUUUGUAAUGGAUAUCGCCACACAGGAUUCUGUGCUAUUUCUAUUAUUAUUUUUGACAUCGAAUUCUUUCUCUUAUGUUGAUCCGAGUGCAGAUUUUGGAAUCUAUAAAUUUGUGACAAAUAAAUAAGAGACUUUACCUUGUGUAUUGUUUUAAUGCUUUUCAUUAUGGGUAGGGCUUGCUACCAUUUCAAUAUUCAUUUGUUUCCAUACAUCGUUGCCUUGUGCUGGUGUUGGUGGUCGGGUUCACGGGAUAGUGGAUGACUAUUUGUUGUAGGAAGACUCAAUUUAAUCCCUUUUUUCUAGUCACCCCUUGAGAUUGUUUUCAUUGAUUUUGUUUUCACUAAGUUUAGAGAAAGGAAAAUCACAGGCAGGCUCCCGAAUGAGCCUAAAAUGAGGGGGCUAGGGUGGAAGCAGAUCUCCAUAUGGGGGCUGUAAACAUUGGUGGCAGGCGAUUGCUGCAUCCCUAAAUUUAUAGAGUUAUGGUCACAGAAAUUGUGUAACCAACCACGUAUUUGAAUUAUAAUGUUGUUGAGGGAGAGUAUGGCUCAUGGUUAUAUAUCCCCUUUUCCAGUAAUUUCUUCUCAUUCACCUCUUUUUACCAGUCAAAAAGAGAGCGGAGAAUUGCACAUGCAGCAUCUUGGUUGAUAGAGGAUCAUCUGUUAGAUGCUAUCAAUCAUUUUUCUACUCUAACCCAAAUUGUUGCUUCUUCACAUGGCUUCAUCAAUGCUUGUGGAGCCAUCUUUCCAGAAGUUCGAAUAUAACGGCCAUAUGGUCUGAAACAUUUGACAAAAAUUGGAUUGCUUCUGCUUCUGCCUUGCUGUAGGUGAGAGAUUGGUACUGAGACUGUCAGAAGCUUCAAAUAUAACGGCUAUGAAGCUGUACGAAAGCCAUGUGGAACAUUUGCUUUAAAGAUGUUAGGUGAGAUACGCUUCACAUCUCUCUCCAAAACGAAGCAUAAAACCAGCUAAAAACUAGUUUAUGUCUCAUUGUCUUGGUGAUGUGAAGUAAUAUCAGUCAAUGGGGAUGGCCCAUGGCUCAGUUAAUAUGAAUGAUGCUUUUUCUGCCGAAGUUGAAUGGGUUCUGAUUUCUGAUAUGGUCCGUGAACAAACAGUAAACAAAAUAUGUAGAUUUUUAGCGGAGAGGAAUAUUUCAAAAAAUAUAUGCUGGUCUCAAAGUUGGAUGGCAUAUCCGCAUAAUCGAAGUUGUAGAUUGUUAAUGUUGUGGAGCUAGUUGCUUCUACCACCAGACUUCCAUUUAUUGACGCUUUCAAAAAAAUUAUUCACUUAUGAAUAAUACAAAAUUUUAAAUUGAAAAUCAAUCUAUUGUCAGAAUGCUUCUUUCAUACCCAUCUCUUAAUUCCAGUGAAAUUCUUGAUCAAAAGCUUAGACGAACUUCCAUUGAAUCAGUGGCAUGAGAGAGUCCUCCGUCAUGCCUGCUGAACUCCAUGGUUUAUUUGCCAGUCAAGGGCAUCCAUGGCACCACCCUCUUGAUCUUUUUUUUUUUUUUUUUAAUCCUAUGUAAUAUCCUAACUCCUUAAAUAUUACCUGUAUAAUAGUUCUGUAACAAAUGCGGAGAAAUGGCAAUGGAGGACAGAGCCUUCUAGACAGCCUUAAAUGAAUGUACCGUACUGGGUCAUGGAGAACAGAGUCUUCAAGCCUUUUCUUUCCACACCUCAUAAAUGGAGGCAGUUGAGAGUUAAAAGACAACACUCCUUAUUUACUUCUUAUGAAUCUUGUUUGUGCUCAUUCACAUUCUGAUCCACACCAGCUUUUCUCUCUUUUAGUGUUCUACUUUCUUGCUUGGUUUUCCCACUGCUCCCAGGCCUCUCAUGGAUUUGCCCCUCAACCUCCUAUUCACAGCUUUUCUCAUUCUUGCUGCAGCCAUUGAUGGGGCUCAUGCAGAUGCCAUGGUCACGGGCACCGUCUUCUGCGACCAAUGCAAGGAUGGACAGAGAUCCCUCUUCGAUUAUCCCCUCUAUGGUAUGAUCCUUGAUCAACUACAUUUUCUUUUUUCAAAGUUUUGUUCCUUGGAUGUUGUCUCUCAUAAUGUAGAUAGUACUUUCACGGUGAUUACCCCAACAUCCUCACUGUAUACAGUUGUUCAUGUUUACCUAUCAUAUGCCAAAAUCCAUUAGAAGAAUUUGUUUCUGUUUCCUUCAAUUUCUUAGCAAUCAAACAGGGAGAUGAAAGAAUGGAUUAGGGUUCAAAAGAAUUUAACAGCUACCUUUUCUGCAGGAAUAAAGGUUACCAUGGCAUGUGCCAACAGUAAUGGACAAAUCACAAUGUGGAGGGAAGAGACUACAAAUUGGUUUGGAACCUAUGCAAUGAGGUUUGAUGGUGCCCCAGAUUUGACUGGUUGUUAUGCACAAAUUUCAGGCAGUGGACAGGGGUCAACAGGUUGUAGAGCAGCUGCUGGUCCUGCCCAGUCUGUUAGACUUAUGUUCAGGAUGUUUGAUAUGGAGAUGUAUGCAGUGGAUUCCUUGCUUUCUCAGCCUGCUCAGCCCAUGUCCUUUUGCUCAAGAUCCUCUACCCCAGUUCCUACUCCAGGAACUCCAUCUAGGCCUCCAUCAUUUCAGCUUCCGCCAGUUCCACGAAUGCCACCAAUGCCUCCAUUGCCUCCAUUGCCUCCAGCACCACCAGUGCCCUUCCUGGAAGCCUCAGCCUGUUCACACGAGUAAGUCAAGGAAAUUACGAAGAACUUCCCAUAGAAGAACACUGAAACUUUCAAAUAUAGUCCAUAUCCUCUGUUUCCUAUUACUAAAUGGUUGUCUUUUUCCAGGAUAUGGACAGCUCCAGAGUACAAAUGCUACUGGAAGGUGGUGAACCCAGAUAUGAAAGUAGCAUCUGUGUUUGGACUGCUAGCAGCACAGAAGUAUGGGACAGACAUGACCCUGCGGGAAGGCCUGCAAGGGAGAGGAGACCCUUACAGGACCCUCCUCAGAGAGGCCAUAACUUCACUGCUCAACUCCUACAAUAGUCUUCUCUUCCCAUACCAUACCCUUGGUGUCAUCCAGCAUAUGAGUUUGGCCUUGAUGGGGUCCCAACAGAAUGUCCUCCUCACAGCUCUACGCUUCAAGAGGGCAAAUUCUGGCUCCGGCAACCUCACCUGCAAGUUCACUGCCUGCAAGUGAUUCAUCCAUUGCUAGACCUAUUUCAAUCCUCUCUCUAUAUUAUAUAUAUAUAUAUAUAUAUAUAUAUGUAUGCUAUUUCCUUAUUUCUACUUCUUGGGUAUACUAGUAUUUGUAUUGAAUUGACUGACGUCUCCAUAUUAUGAUCAAUUAUUAUAGUAUUUGUAGGAUUUUAGCAGUCCAUAUGUAGAACAUUUGAUAUUGUUUUUGGCUUUGGGUGACAGAAAGUAUGCUAAUUUGAUGACUAGUGGUAGGGUUUUCAGUAGUUGGGGCCCCAUCCUUAUUUAAAAUAUAAGCGUUUCGAAUUAAAAAGGAUGGAGGGCCAACUACUAAUGUCUAUACUAUCAAGCCAAUCUUGAAUUUAGCCGCAUCUUUUUUUCUCUAGGCACAAUAAUGAUCCUCUUCGGUUUCUCUUGGAGAAACCGGUACACCACCUUGCUAAGCCUACUUUAAUAGUGAAAAGAAAGAUCAUUCAUUUUUCAACCAAAAAUUUGAAAGUCAAAAUGUGUGGGAAUAUGGACAGAUGUUUUUGUGGAGACUUCAAUGAGUGUUUUUGAUGGAUAAAAAGAUGUGCUUUUAGGGUUGAAAUAAAUGUAGAUAGAUCGAAAGAAGCAUCAAGGGGAAAAAGAAGAUCUAAAUGACCUAAAAGGGCUUUCAAAUGAUUAUUGAUUUAAGUGGGUAGCUGAGAAAAUGAGAAAUUUAGGAUUGGGUUGGUGAAAAAAAUUAAGGUUAGUGGGCAAAUAAAAAAAAAUGAAUUGGUAAAUGAUUUCCUAAAAAUGAAAAAGUUAUGGUGCAGGUGGAGAACUCUCUAAUAUCUGUCCAUACUCUAAAGCCAGUCAUGAACCUAGCUAUGGUUUCUUCUCUAUUUCUCCACCCACAAUAAAUAAUGAACCUUUUCUUCUCUUUUUCCAACUUCCUAAGGCCAAUGGAUGUAAAAACAUUCGAAUGGGCCUAACUCUUACAGUAGGAUGUCUCUUUCAGUACAUCCAUGAUUGGAUUUCAUUUGAGGGAAGUGUUUGACCUUGAGUUCAAAAUUCAAGAUGUAAAUUUUGAACAAUCUCUUUAAUAACUAAACAAAAUUUAUUUGCAGAUCUAUGUUUCAUCACUUACAAUGGCAAUGGCAAUGGCGCUUAGAAUGCAAUCUUUAUUCAUGCUCUGCGGAUUCUUCUUUGCCAACUCCUUUGUCAUCCAAGAAGCCACCAUCAAGGACAUCCAACACGCAUUCUCUCAAAACCAACUGACCUCCAGACAGCUCGUCGACUUCUACCUGCACCAGAUCCAGGCCUUGAAUCCCAAGCUUCAUGGCGUGAUAGAGGUGAACCCAGAUGCAGGAGAUGAAGCUUGAAAAUGUGAAUCUCAAUAAUGAACUACACCUAGAGGGGGGUGAAUAGGUGUUGUAGAACAAUUUAAAAAUUCGAAUGUCCUUCAAAGAAAAAAGGAAAGAAAGCCAUGCAAGUCACUUGGAGUGACUCAGAAUCAUGUCAAUCUAGUGAAAAAAAAUCCAAUGCUGUUGAAUUUGGUUGGUCUCCACCUAAGGUGUUGGAUAGAGAAGGAAGACCAACUAAUGUUAUCAAGCCUAAGUUGGAAUGGGAUAGAGGUGACAAUGAAGCUAGUGAGAACAAUGCUAGAGCCAUGUAUUCUAUCUUUAAUGCCAUUAGCACGGAUGAAUUUCGUAGGAUAGCCACAUGUACUUCGGCUAAGGAGGCUUGGGAUAUUCUCCAAGUGACUCAUGAAGGAACUAAUGCCGUGAAAGUGUCCAAGCUUCAAAUGUUGACAUCUAGGUUUGAGACCAUUAGGAUGGAUGAUCAUGAGAACUUUGGAGAGUUCUAUGCAAAACUGAUGGACAUAGUGAAUUCUAGUUUUAAUCUAGGUGAGCCCAUCCCUAAUUCCAAAGUGGUUAGAAAAAUUCUAAGAUCUCUUCCGGAGAGAUUUAGAGCAAAAGUCACUGCCAUUGAAGAGUCCAAGGAUGUGGAUUCCUUGAAAGUGGAUGAACUUGUGGGUUCACUCCAAACCUUUGAAAUGACUCUUGGAUCACCUAGGAAAUCAAAGGGCAUUGCCUUGAAUGCCAUUAAAGAGGAGUCCUUAGGUUUCAAAGGUGAGGGUAAUGAGAAAAUGUUGGAUGGAGAGGUUGCUAAAUUUCCUAGAAAAUUCAAAAAAUACAUGAAGUUCAGGAAAUAUAAGAAGAAGUCCAAUGAAGAUGCUAGAAAAUGGAAUAAUUCAAUGGGAAAAUCAAAUGUAAAAGACAAAAAGAAAGACAAGAAUAUCAAAAUAUAAAGUGAGAGAAAGAGACAAUGAACACCAGAUUUUUAACGUGGAAAACCUCCGAAGAGAUCAAAAACCACGGGCCUAUCACCGAUUGAAAACUCCACUAUGAAGAAUAAAAACUGAGUACAAGGUUUUACCUAGCUCAAGCCAACCAAUCCUUCCUGGAAUACUUGACUAGUACCUUCAUUUUCAGCUUCUCCUUUUGAAGCACACUUGGAGUCCGCACCAAGCUCAAUCUCGGCCUCUUCUUGAAUCCACACAAGAAGAAAAUGGGUUUUUGCACAAACCCAAAUAGAAUGAGAGAUUGAGAUAUGAAGGAAGAAAGGAAUCAACCCAUUUGUUGCUCAAGAAAAUCCAUUAAAAACCAGUUUGGAAAACAUUAAGAGAAAUGGAUUUUCUUUGCAAUAAAAAACCCCAACUUAGGAAAGCAAAAACGAGAAAUGAAGAACACUUGGAGUGUGGCUGCUCUCCCCCAUUUUCUGCAGUCACUCUACUUAGAAAAUGAGAGAAGAUUGGUUUUUAAAGUGUAAAAAGAAACCCUUAAUCUAAUGGCUGAGAUUUGAUCAAAAAAACAUUAGUUGGAUAGAUCCACCCCUACACUUAGAUCGAUCCAGAAACAGAGGAAUGAAAUCCUUGCACCAAAAACCAUUCUUCCCAACUUUCUAACACAUUUAAAGAUUAAAAACCGGGUUGAUUAACACCCAAACUCGACUACAUACCUCGACCUCUUAGCAAAGUCUUAGUCUUCAAAGUCAAGUAGUCCGAAUAGGAAUAGGAAAGCCGAGUUAGGGGACACUUAGGAAUUUUGUCCGGAAUUGCCAACCUAGCUAAACACUCACAAAGCUGACAAAGCCGAUUCAAGAAUGAAAAGCAAGACGAAGGUGGGAGAGUUGAAUGGGAUACCGGUGUUGCUGAAGGACAGUAUAAAUACCAAAGAUAUGUUGAAUUCAAUUGCUGGGUCAUACGCAUUGUUGGGGGUGGAGGUGAGUGGAGAUGCGACGGUGGUGAAGAAGUUGAGGAACGCCGGAGCAUUGAUACUGGGGAAGGCUAGUAUGAGUGAGUGGUGUUAGUUUCGUUCUUUGAAAAUUCCCCGAGGUUGGUGCACAAGAGGUGGACAAGCUAGGCGUCGUGAGCUUGCAUAUUUCCUUUCUUUCUUUAUUUCUUUCCAUAUCUUGGUUUCACUAUUUUCUCCUUUUAAAUUUGUUUCUACUCUAAAGUAGAUUCUAAAGAAUUUCGACAAAACUAUUAUUGAUCUUGUUCAAAAGAAAGUUUGCUAAAUUUCGAUCAGAAGUUGGAGUUAACGAUCGAUUUGAAAGGAUUAGAGGCGCAAGAACCCUUCUUGAGUGAUUUAGGCCAGAAGUUGAAGUAAUAAUUCAAAAAAAUUUCAAAGAAAAGAAAAAAAAAAGAAUGCCUCAGAUUCUUAGCCAAUAUUUACUCUGUGACUACUGAAUUACGUGCAGAAUCCAUAUGUUGAUUCCGGAGAUCCAUAUGGGUCAAGUAGCGGAUCUGCAAUAUCAGUGGCAUCCAACAUGGUGGCCGUCUCGCUUGGGACUGAGACCAAUGGUUCCAUCAUCUGCCCAGCUGAUCAUAACUCCGUUAUAGGGUUUAAGCCCACCGUUGGACUCACCAGUCGGGCAGGCGUCAUCCCUAUUUCACCCCGGCAAGACAGUGUUGGGUAACUGUAAGCUACCUCAUGUCUGAUAUCAUUAAUUUAUUAAAAUCUCAAAUACAUUCAUUAUGCCAUUUGUAUGGUACAUGUUUAUAAGUUAUAUUCCACGUCAAAUAGUGAAAAAAGUUUGUAUGGGUGUAUGUGUAUGAUGGGUUUUUUUAAUCUCGUAAACAUGUUUUAGAGUUGUAUGAAUUUUUUGGAUAAUAUCUAUAUGAUUGAAAAUGAAUUGUUACAAAUGUUAUUAUAGACGAUCUUACACAUGGGUGUAAGAAUUCAUUCUCUUUUUAAGCUCAUAGAUCUUAUGAAUUAUUUGAAUCCAAAAUAGACGAUAUCUAUACGAUUAAACCAACAAACAAUAUCCAUAUGGGUCUAUGAGUUUAGAGCAAAUAAUAUUUAAAUAGAUAAUAUUUACAUGAUUAGAAGUAGAUUACUACACCUACUAUAACAAUUGCUUCUUUGGCCUAAAUCAGAGGAUAUGUCGGAUAUUAUGUCAAAUGAAUUUUGUUCAAUAGUUAGUAAGACAUUUCUCUACUGUAGGCCCAUAUGCAGUGUUGAUGUCUCGCGUCCCAGGGAUCCACGCUGCUGCCAAGUGGAUGCGCGCUUUCAACCAAAAAUGAGUUUUGACUCAAUCGAUCCUACAAAAGAUGUCCGGUGGUUUUGUUAGUCAUGGCUUCAGAGAUCAAGCUAUUGUCAUUUUUCUGGGAUAUCAUACUUACCUUUUUCUUUGUGUGAAGACCCUUUUAUAUAAUGUUAGAAGCUCUGCUCCCCUCUUUAAUGGUGGGAAGACUUUUUGGCUUGUCAUGAUGUCCUCAAGGUGGUGACACAGUCAUCAUCACCUUGCAGGCGGCUGCCAAAGCUCGUGAGAGGUGACUUGCCAUCACCCCUGUCUUUUCGCUCUGCAGGCGACGGAACGUGGGUUGUGACAGGCUGUCUGGGAUGACUCAACAAGGCUUGCUCCUUGCAGUCAAUGAUUCGGACAAUAUAUCCGGAUAGGAUAGAGCAUCACCCGGGUAUGAUAUUUGAGAGUGCCAUAUGCCCCCCCCCCCCUAGGGGACCCGGAUAGGGGUGCGCGCCACGUAUCCUCUUGGGGGGUACAAAUAGAGUUGAUCUGGACAGCGGUGCGUGCCACGUGUCGUCGGGGGGGUCCCUACAUGCAGGACUGUGUCGGAUGCGGUUUAUGUGCUGGAUGCUAUAGUAGGUUUCGACCCUAGAGAUAGCCAGGCAAUAGAAGAAGCAUCAAAGUUCAUACCGAAUGGUGGCUACAAACAAUUUUUCAACAAAGAUGGGCUUACUGGAAAGAGAUUGGGUGUUGUGAGGAAUCCAUUUUCUUACUUUUACAAUGAAUCCACUGCUAUUCUAGCCUUUGAGGCUCAUCUGAACACAUUAAGGUAGAAGAUACAUAUGCUUUGUUCCAUAUAUAAACAAAGUCUGAUCUCAUGUAAUAAACAUACAUUGAUUUGGCAUCCAGUGAUCACGAGAAUUUUCUCUUGGAAAUUGCAGGCAAAGGGGUGCAAUUUUAGUGGACAAUCUGGAAAAAGAAAAUAUUGAUAUCAUCAUGGACCCGAAUGAAUGUGGUGAAUCAACGGCCUUGUUGGCUGAGUUGAAGCUCAACAUAAAUGGGUAUCUAAGAGAGCUCACCAGCUCUCCAGUGAGGUCCUUAGCAGACAUUAUUGCCUUCAACUUGAACAGCUCUGAUCUAGUAAAGACACCUGAAAAAUGGAUUAUUGUGUUAUUCCAAGUUAUGAAGGUUAUAAAUUAAUGCAUUAUAUAAGCUUUGUGUCAUUGCAAGAGAAGACUGAUGAAUAUGGACAGGAAGUCUUUAUGGCAUCAGAGAUGACAAAUGGGAUUGGGGAGGAAGAGAGGACGACAAUGGAGAUGCUGGCAAUUCUGUCACGUGACGGCUUUGAGAAACUGAUGAAGGAGAAUGAGCUUGAUGCGACUGUGACACUGGGUCCGGGCAUGGCCCCUGUGCUGACCAUUGGAGGUUACCCAGGAAUUACUGUUCGAGCUGGGUAUGAUGAGGAUGGAAUGCCCUUUGGCAUAUGUUUUGGAGGACUAAGGGGGAUGGAGCCGAAGCUUAUCGAAGUUGCUUACGGUUUCGAACAACCUACAAUGAUUCGGAGGCCUCCUGCUUAGCUCCAAAUGAUCAUUUAGCCAUAAAUUAGGUCUUUCUCAAGUAAUGUCUGGUGGCCUAAUGAAGGGUAUUUUGUUUCCGAUGAUAAUAAUAGAGGAAUGGUUCGUAUAUGUUGUUAAUUCUAGUGAUAAUUGAUGUUAACAUGCUCGUGAUUAUAAAAAGUGUUUCUAAUUAUUUUUUGAAAUUCUGAUCAAAUGGGUUUUGAUUGAACUUUUUAAUUAAUUAUGAGUAUUCUUUUUUACAAUUUAUUUCUUGAUUGAUCUCAGAAACACCAGGCCUGUGUGUCCAAAAAUGACGUUUGCAUUAGCACAAGUAGACGUGAGUCUGUGACCAGGCCUCUCUGUACAAAAAUAAGACUGCAAACACUUGAGCUCAGCACAAACAGCUGAUUAAGAAAGCAGACAAAGCAGAGAGAAGCAAUGGUGUCUUCAAAUUUUGCCAUGCUUUCAUUACUUCUCAUCAGCUUCAGAUCCUUUUGUUUUUAAAAACAAUAUAGAGGUUGUUCUCUGAAUCUUGUGUCUUUUUUUUUUUUCAAUCUUGUUUUAAAAAUUUAUAAUUUCAAAACAAUUGCCAAACAUGUAAAAAAAAAUAAAUUAAAAGUUGUUUUUUAUAUUUUUAAAACUGUUUUUAAAAAUUCCAACAAACAUGUUAUUAAUCUUACAUAAUUGUUUCAAUUUAAAAUUGUAUUUAUAUUGUUUAAUCUUUUUAAUUACUAUAUACUGUUUUGAAAAUCAUAUUGGAUUUUCUGGUUUGGUUCUCUCUAUUAAAUCAGAUAUUUGAACCAACCCCAAAGGCAUUGAACCGAUGGUUAGAAUGGUGAACUGUUGGACCGGGUGAUUCCAUAUGAAUUGAACAGUUCAACUCCUCUGCUCUUCCUUUCAUUAAAUGAGCCUAAUUUAAAACCCACCUCCUCUCAGACUUUUAAGAAAAAAACACCUAGCCGUCUUCCAUUUAAUGAUAUUCGAUAAAAACUCAACCCGAUUACCCCUUAAUGUGCCAUACCUUGAUUUAGACAUGACUUAUUGAGUUAGCAAUCCACGUCUCAUGUGGGAUUCAUGACUUGAAGUAUAAGAAAAAUGAAUGAAUUAAAACUCACCUAAAGGAUUUAAUAUUUAGUAAAAUCCCAACCCAAACACCUCUUAACGUGUCAUACCUUAAUUCACGUGUUGUAGACAUGACUUGUUGAGUUAGAAAUCCACAUCCCAUGUGACCUACAACCGAGCAAAACACCCGCUAAGGCUGCAUGCACUUUAUCACUUACAAUGCAAAUAAAAAAAUGUAUAUGUUUAUAAAAUAUUUAUAGUAUUAAAAAAAUAAUAUAAUAUUUUCUAAAAUUAGUUAAAAUUAAAUAAUUAAUUUUUUUUCAUUUUGAAUAUAUUGACAUUUAAAUAUUAUACAUAUUUCAUUUAAUAAAAUUCAAAAUAUUAAUACAUUUAUACUUAUUUUUUAUAAUAUCAAAGAUAAAAAAUUAAUAUAUUGAUUAUAUAUAUAUAUAUAUAUUUUAAUUUUUAAUUUUUUUUAUUUUAAAUAAUAUAAAUUAUAUUUUUAUGACGUCAUUAGUUCGACUACCGAUUCGAUUACUGAACCGUGAACAAUAACUUUUUCGGUUUAAUGACCAUUAUAUUAAAAAACAUUGGAUACACACUAUAUAUGAUAUAUUUUUUUCAUUAAUAUUUGAAUAUUUAAUGAUAACAAUUUGAAGGAUUUUUAUGCUUGAUGAAAAAAAAAAACACAUGUAAUAAUAAGAAUGAUAAUAAGUUGAGUCAAAUAAUAAUAAAUUUUAAAUAGCGGGAAGAUAAAAUAUAUGUGAAAAGAAUUUAUUUUAUAAAGAUAGUUCAAUAAUUUGACUAUAGGAGGAAACAUCGACAAAGAUUUCCCACCCCACUAUAAUGAAAAUAAGAGAAAUAAAAUAUGUGAAUGAUAAAGUCCAAAAAAAAAAAAAUUCAAUUUGAAUGUUAAUGUUACACAAAUAAUAGUAAAGAUUGUAUGGUUUUGUGGUAUUAAAUAAAUGGAUGUUACAUUUGAAUAAUAAAAAUAAUUAGGAAAGUUAUAAAAUCGAGGAAAGAUAAAAAUAAAUGAUAUAGUAGGGGUAUUUUGACAUUUUGUUCUUCAGGAAGCUACUAGAUUAGCUCCAAUGGGUGUGCACAGAGGCUAUGUUAAGCUUCUUCCAUAUGGUUUUGCCGGGAUAAUGGAAAAAUCAGGGGAGAAUAGUUGUGGGGAUUUGAGUUUUAUCAAGAAUAUUGGUGGGUUUGAUUUUGGGGAAGGUAUUAGAUUUGAGCCAUCAAAGCUUAUUCCGAAGUUUCAGAGACAGGCUGAUGAGAUGAAUCUCUUCUGCUUCAAGGCUACAACACCGUUUUGGAUGCAGAAAGCCCCGGCUUGCUUCGGUCAGUAUUUUUACUUUUCUUUUUCUGGGUUUUUUUUUUUUUUUUCUCUUUCCCUAAUUCGCUUAUUGCCUGUUGCAUGCAUCUUACAAUCCUUAAUACUGUGAAUUGAAAAAGUCUUCGCUCUUCUUCGAUCAAUUAAAAUCUCCCAUUUAUUAAACGUGGACUUGAUAAAUCCAAUAUUGUUUCUCCUAUAGGUUGAUACUUUCUAGUCUGAAAAAUUUGCACUUCUCAUGGACACAAUGGCAAUGGCAAUGGCGUUUAAGAUGCUUUCUCUUUUGCUCCUCUGCGGAUGCUUCUUUUCCAACUCCUUUGUCAUCGAAGAAGCCAACAUCAAGGACAUCCAAUGGACAUUCUCUCAAAACAAGCUCGUGUCCAGACAGCUCGUUGACUUCUACUUGCACCAGAUCGAGGCCCUGAAUCCAGAGCUUUGCAACGUCAUAGAGGUGAACCCAGAUGCACGAGAGCAAACGGACAAGGCCAAUGCAGAGAUUAAAAGCAAUAAGGAGUUGGGGGAGCUGCAUGGGGUACUUGUGUGUUGAGAUAUUAGGAAUGCUUUCCUUAUAUCAUUCUUUCCUUAUAUCAUUUAGUGUUGAGAUAUUAGGAAUGUUUAGAUAUUAGGAAAGUUGAGAUAUUAUGAAUAUUGAGAUAUUAGGAAUAUUGAGAUACUAGGAAUAUUGAGAUAUUAGGAAAGUUGAGAUAUUAGGAUAUUAGUUGUUAUUUCCUUAUAUCAUUCUUUCCUUGUAUCAUUCUUUCUCAUUCUUAGAAUGGUGAUUACCCUCUAUAUAUACUCUGUACAUGAACGAAUGAAAGUAUGAAUGAAAAAAACUACCAUUUAUCAAUUUGAAGAUGGUAUCAGAGCCAUGGAAUUGAAAUCCUGGAUAUUUUGUCACUAUGGUAGUCCGACAGCGAUCAACCAUCCUAAGACAAGCCCUAAUAUUGAUAAGUCAACCUUCAAAUGCACUCACUUCAAUAAGACUGGUCCCACCAGUCUGGAUAUCCCACAAUUUUAAAGCAACGACUCUUGGUAUGACCAGGAAAACAAUAAGGAACCGAGGGUUUGAACCAUGGACCUUUAGAUCAUGUUUAGGCUAUCAACACUUUGUUAUUAAUUAUAAUAAUCGUGAUCAACAGAAGAAGGAUCCCAAGAAAACCUUGACUGCAACUAUUGCCGAAAUAAAAACAGAGGCUAAUGUUGCUGAGAAAGCCUCUGCAUUGGUAGCCGCUACUGAUCAUGGUGGUAAGUUUUUAAAUACUUUUACACCUGUUAUUAAUAGUGCAUGGAUAAUUGAUUCUGGUGCUACAGAUCAUAUGACUUUUGAUUCUAGACAGGUUUCACCCCUUAGACCUUCCUCACAAAAAAUUAUUUCCACAGCCAAUGGUAACACAACCCCAGUCAUUGGGGAAGGAUCCUUAACUCUUACUGAUACUUUGAAUUUGGAUUCUGUUUUAGUUGUUCCAUCUUUAGAUUACAAUCUUUUGUCAGUUUCUCAAAUCACUACAACCUUAUCUUGUAUUGUCAUUUUUUGGCCUGAAUUUGUGUGAUUAAGGACAUCCAAACAAGACAGACGAUUGAUUGUGGUAUUAAACGGGGAAAACUCUAUUACUUGGACUUGCAAUCAAAGGAUUCAAAUAAGUUGCAACAAGCCUUGAUGGCAGAUGGAUCUGAGGGGGAGAAGAAAAAGUUUGAAAUUUGGUUGUGGCAUCGACGUCUGGGACAUGCUUCCUUUGGUUAUUUAAAAAAAUUGUUUCCUAGUUUGUUUGCAAAGAGUGAUAUUUCUGGUUUCCGUUAUGAUAUUUGUGAAUUGGCUAAAAGCCAUCGUGCUUCGUUUUCGUUAAUUUUGAAUAAAAGUCCGUUUCCUUUUAUGGUUAUACAUUCUAAUGUUUGGGACCCAUCCAAAGUCCCAACUUUGAGUGGCUCACGUUGGUUUGUUACUUUUAUUGAUGAUUGUACCAGAAUGAGAUGGUUAUGCUUGAUGAAGACCAAAGAUGAAGUGAACUUGUUGUUUAAAAAUUUUCAUAAAAUGAUUGAAACUCAGUACAAUGCAAAGGUUCGGGUUCUGCGUAGUGAUAAUGGUGGAGAAUAUCAAAGUUCUGAUCUUCAAAAGUAUUUGGAAGGACAUGACAUCAUUCAUCAGACUACUUGUUCCAAUACACCCCAGAAAAAUGGAGUCGCUGAACGAAAAAAUCGACACUUGUUAGAGGUUGUUCGUGUUUCCUUGAUAGCAGCAAAAACACCGAUAUCUUAUUGGGAAGAAGCAAUCACAUCUACCGCAUACUUGAUCAAUCGGGUACCUUCUAACUCAAUUAACUUUCAAACACCUCUCCAAGCUCUUACUAAUGUCGUAGUUGCCCCAACCGUCCCAAAUCUACCUCCUCGUGUUUUUGGUUGCGUGGCAUUUGUGCAUCUACACAAGCACCAACGCACCAAGUUAACUUCCCAUGCAUUGCAAUGUGUGUUUGUUGGAUAUGCAUUGCACAAAAAGGGAUAUCGAUGUUACCAUCCUCCAACUCGACAAAUGUAUAUUACAAUGGAUGUGGUGUUUCAUGAAGAUUCAAUGUAUUUUUCAUCUGAGUCUGAACUUCAGGGGGAGUACCAUAAGGAAAUUUAGAUUCUCGAUUAUGAUUAUCAUAUCUCUGAGGAAGAUGAAUCUGGACAACCUGGACAAUCUGAACUAGUGAACCAGGAAGUGGGUGAGUUGGAUAUGGGUGGUCAACAAUUUGGGUCUGAAGAUGUCUUCACUAAAAUACCAAACCAAUCGUCAUCUGUUGAGGGUGUUCUUAAUUUGGAACCUGAUCCUUUCAUGAAACAGUUACCACAUCGUCAUAAUAGAGGUAUUCCUAAACCCACAUAUGAACCUGAAUUGUCUACUAUAGUCGAAUAUCCCAUGAGCAACUAUGUGUCUACCCAUCGUUUGUCUGAAUCAAAUAAGCCAUUUGUAAAUCAAUUAUCUACUGUAUCUAUUCCUAACAGUGUGCAGGAAGCCUUAGCUGAUCCAAGGUGGAAAGCAGCCAUGAAUGAAGAGAUGAAAUCAUUGCAGAAGAAUGAAACAUGGGAACUCGUAGAAUGUCUACCAGGAAAGAAGCCAGUUGGGUGUCGUUGGAUCUAUACUGUGAAGUACAAGGUAGAUGGUAGUAUUGAACGAUUUAAAGCAAGACUGGUAGCAAAAGGGUACAUUUAAACUUAUGGAAUUGACUAUACAGAGACAUUUGCACCUGUAGCUAAGAUCAACACAAUUCGAGUAUUAUUGUCUUUAGCUGCAAACCUAGAUUGGCCAUUACAACAAUUCGAUGUGAAAAAUGCCUUUCUGCAUGGCGAGUUAUCUGAAGAAGUAUAUAUGGAUCUUCCACCAGGAUGCAUGGUGUCAGAAAAGCAAUGUCAGAAGGUGUGCAAAUUGAAGAAGUCAUUAUAUGGGUUGAAGCAAUCCCCGAGAGCAUGGUUUGGAAGGUUCACNNNNNNNNNNNNNNNNNNNNNNNNNNNNNNNNNNNNNNNNNNNNNNNNNNNNNNNNNNNNNNNNNNNNNNNNNNNNNNNNNNNNNNNNNNNNNNNNNNNNGUCAGAGUAUAAAAGUAUAUACUGAUGCUGAUUGGGCUGGUGUAGUGGAUGAUAGGCGAUCUACAUCUGGUUACUUUACCUUUGUAGGUGGUAAUCUUGUGACAUGAAAAAGUAAGAAGCAGAAUGUUGUCGCUCGUUCAAGUGCAGAAGCGGAAUUUAGAGGUAUGACUCUAGGACUUUGUGAGGCAUUAUGGCUAAGACUCCUCUUACAGGAUUUAGGUUACCUAUCUAAGCAACCAAUCCGAUUUUUUUGUGACAAUAAAGCCGCAUGUGACAUUGCUCAUAAUCCAGUACAACAUGAUCGUACAAAGCAUGUCGAGGUGGAUAGAUUCUUCAUUAAGGAAAAAUUGGAUGAUAAGAUUGUGAAAUUGCCUAAGAUUCGAUCAGAAGAUCAAUUGGCCGAUAACCUUACCAAAGUUGUCUCAAGUCAAGUGUUCUCAAAAUUUUUAGACAAGUUGGGUAUGUGUGACAUCUAUGCACCAACUUGAGGGGGAGUGUUGAGAUAUUAGAAAUGUUUAGAUAUUAGGAAAGUUGAGAUAUUAUGAAUAUUGAGAUAUUAGGAAUAUUGAGAUACUAGGAAUAUUGAGAUAUUAGGAAAAUUGAGAUAUUAGGAAAGUUGAGAUAUUAGGAUAUUAGUUGUUAUUUCCUUAUAUCAUUCUUUCCUUGUAUCAUUCUUUCUCAUUCUUAGAAUGGUGAUUACCCUCUAUAUAUACUCUGUACAUGAACGAAUGAAAGUAUGAAUGAAAAAAACUACCAUUUAUCAAUCUGAAGACUGUGUUGUUGAAGGACAGUAUAAAUACUAAAGAUAAGUUGAAUACAACUGUAGGGUCAUAUGCGUUGUUGGGGGCGAAGGUGGGUGGAGACGCGGCGGUGGUGGAGAGAUUGAGGAAGGCAGGGGCGGUGAUACUGGGAAAGGCUAGUAUGAGUGAAUGGUAUCAGUUUCGUUCUUUGAAAACUCGAAACGGCUGGUGUCCAAGGAGUGGACAGGGUGUGGUGAGCUUAAUUGCUUUCCUUCUUCCUAUACUUGGUUUCGUUAUUUUGAAGAUUAGGUCUAAAUUUUGUGACUUGUGAGACAUGCAGAAUCCAUAUGUACCAUCGGGAGAUCCAUGCGAGUCAAACAGCGGAUCUGCAAUAUCUGUAGCGGCCAACAUGGUGGCUGUCUCGCUUGGGACUGAGACUGAUGGUUCCAUCAUCUGCCCAGCCGAUGUGAACUCCGUUGUUGGGUUUAAACCCACUAUUGGACUCACCAGUCGGGUAGGUUGUGGACCCUCACCCGAUCCACCGGACCGACGUGACUCGCUUUUAAAAGAAAAGAAAGAAAUGAAAAAGUUGGUGUUUUCCAGUUUUGAAAAACCCGCCCCCGAUGAGGAACGGUGUUGUUUGGAGUCGCCACUUACUUUUUAUUUUUGUUUUUAAAAUGGGGAAAAUUAAGUAAGAACAAAAACCCCUAAUGACCCCAAUAUGGAAAAAGCGGUCUACGAAACUAGAUUCUGGGUCCGGGGAUCAGGUUACCCGUUGGGAAGGUACCUCAUGCGAGGUAGCACCCCUCUAGGCCCGAAACUCGGUCUCUACUAAUGAAUUGGGUAUGUGGGAGCAUAUGGGUCAAAGGUCAAAUGAAACUCUAGGCUAAAUAGAUGUCAUGAAUCACACAAUCCUAAUUGGUAUUUGGCAUGCAUAUGAAUUCAACCAAACAAAACAAUGGAUGCGUACCUGUGGUCCCUAGCCAAGCGUUGGAUAAAAGGUCAGCCAAACACAGAUAAACACAUAACAAACAUUCAAGAUUAAGCACCAUGCAUGCAUAUGAAUUCAACAACCAAAGCCAACGAUGUGUACCUGUGGUCCCUAGCCAAGCGCUGCAGCAGAGGGUGAGUCAGUCACGUAACAUGUAUUCAAAAUCAAGCAUCAAAACUUGUGCCAAAAAGGAAGAUAGCUGGUUGAAAUGAGGUAAGGGACUCCCCAAAUGUCAUACAAAUCGAACUAGACUCAUCUAGACCACACCACCCAUAACUUCAAAAUUGCCCAUACUAACUGAAAUCAAACACUGACUUAAACCUUCAAGAUGGCUCACAAGUGCCCUAUAGCAAAUGGGUUUGAGCCCCCAUGGAUAAGGGCUCGAAAAAUGCCAAAAUCGAGGGCUACCUAAAGUCCUCCAGCAGAACAGGUUGAACUGGUACAACUAUUGAGAAGAAUUCCCAAAUUUUUCUAGAAAACUCCUAAAUGAGUGAGGAUUCAAACAAAAGAAACAACACUCAAUCCCGAGCCCGGACGAGUGAGAACCAGAUAAAGAAAGACAGGUGUUCCUCAUGGCUGACAGAGGCAGCCAGCUAUGGUGCUGAACCGGUUGAACCGGUUCCCAACUAGUUCAGCCGGUUGAUAAAAAAUCCCAAAUUCGGUCAGAAAGUUCCUAAGUGAUUAAGGAAGCGAACAAAAGAAACGGUUCUCAAUUCCGAGCCCGGAUGAGUGAGAACCAGACAAAGAAAGACAAGUGUUCCUUAUGGCUGAUAGAGGCUGCCAGCUAUGGUGCUGAACCGGUUGAACCGGUUGGUAAAAAAUCCCAAAUUUGGUCAGAAAGUUCCUAAGUGAUUAAGGAAGCAAACAAAAGAAACGGUUCUCAAUUCCGAGCCCGGAUGAGUGAGAACCAGACAAAGAAAGGCAAGUGUUCCUCAUGGCUGAUAGAGGCUGCCAGCUAUGGUGCUGAAUCGGUUGAAUUGGUUCCAAACUGGUUUAGCCUGUUGGUAAAAAAUCCCAAAUUCGGUCAGAAAGUUCCUAAGUGAUUAAGGAGGCAAAAAAGACGGUUCUCAAUUCCGAGCCCGGAUGAGUGAGAACCGGACAAAGAAAGGCAGGUGUUCUUCAUGGCUGACAGAGGCAGCCAGCUAUGGUGCUGAACCGGUUCCCAACCGGUUCAGCCGGUUGGUAAAAAAAAUCCCAAAUUCGGUCAUAAAGUUCCUAAGUGAUUUAGAAAGCAAACAAAAGAAAUGGUUCUCAAUUUCGAGCCCGGAUGAGUGAGAACCAAACAUAGCAAGGUCAGAUGUUCCUCGUGACUGACAGAGUCAACCAACCAUGGUGCGAAAUUGAAAAUGAUGAAUGAAUUAAACUUGAGCCUAAACGUGAUUCUAACACAUCAAGAAAACAAUCAUCCUCAACAGUAAUCCUCAACCAUUCAUAACCAAUCAACAACAAACAUGUGUGACCUUUAUUAUCCACACCCAAGCAAUAUAAUCUUCACAUCAAAGGAAAUAAAAGAGGAUGAGAAAGAAGAAAAAGCAUACGAAGACGAUGAAGAUGACCUGUAGGUAAAAAAAAUUCAGCAUACUUACCUCAGAAUCUCCGCCAAAUAUGAUCCAUGUACGCUGAUGAUGACUUCCAGAAACCGAGACGUUGUAGCUUUCCUCCACGCUCUCAACUCAGAAGAUGCUCCCCACCCUCUGUUCUUCUCACCAACAAAAUAUCCUCUCUCUCAAAAAUGCCAAAAGGUAUUUUGCUCUCCUAUCCUCUCACCUUUUAUACUCAUACCCCUCUCAGCAUUUGAGCCUCCUGGGUUCCUUUCCCUUCAGCACCGAAAUCCCUUUCAUCAGCAUGGGAACCACACCCCUCAUUACUCCUCUUAAACUUACAAGACCAGCUCACUCCUUCAGUUUUCAGCUUACUUCACCACCAAGAAUCCAUAUGGAUUCGUGGUGGGCUGCAAGGAACCCAAACCAAGGCCUAAAAUGGACCCAAAACAUUUCCCAAAACCGAUCUGAAGCUUACGGGCCUGAGCCAUGUAGGAUUUGGGCCUCAAAAUUACUAGAAUUAGUGUUUUACCUCAGUUUACUCAAUGAACCGGCCGAACCGGAUGCCAACUGGUCGAACCGAUGGAAAAAAAUUCUGAAAAUUUGACAGAAUGUUCCUAGUAGAGUAAGGAAUUCAUUAAAAAAAAACGGUGCGUGAUUCCAAGUUCGGAAGAGGGAGAUAUGAUAAAAACAAUUACCAAAAAUCAGUGUUCUACACCGGCUGACUCGAUGAACCGGCUGAACCGGCUGCCAACCAGACGACCGGUUGCAAAAAAUUUUGAAAAUUUUACAGAAUGUUUUUGGAAGAAUAGGGAAUCCAUAAAAAGAAACGGUUCUUGAUUCCGAGUUUGGAUGAGGGAGAUACGAUCAAAACAAGCCCGAGUGCUCCGAACCUCAACAUGCCCCUAUAAACCCCAACUAAGCUAAAACAUCGGGAUGACCCCACUUCCUUCCUAUAGCGUGAUGUGAACGACUAGGAAAAUGGCCAUGGUGACCCUCCAAAAUGAACCACAUAUACACCACAAUGGACCACAAACAAACCCACACGAGGCUCGGACACCGACUAAGCCCAAAAGGGGCCCUAGUGGUGCCAUAUGCGAACGAUGGGUGGAUGUGACACCCGAAGGAUAAAUGCCAGUGUCGAGGGACAAAAUUGAGGGUCUACACAGGUGUCAUCCCAAUUUCACCCCGACAAGACAGUGUCGGGUACUAUAAGUUACAUAGCUUUGAAAUUGAUUAUUGAAUCUCUAACACAAACAUUAUGCUAUUAGGAAACUCUAUGUUUAUACAGGCCUAUAAAUUAUGAAAGUAGAGCUUGUUCUAUAUAUAGCGUUGAUCAGAUGUUUCUCUACCACAGACCUAUAUGCUGGAGUGUGCUGGACGCAGUUUAUGUGCUUGAUGCUAUAGUGGGUUUUGAUCCUAGAGACGGUGAGGCAACAAAAGAAGCAUCCAAGUUCAUACCUGUUGGUGGCUACAAACAAUUUCUCAACAAAGAUGGGAUUGCAGGAAAGAGAUUGGGUGUUGUGAGGAAUCCAUUUUCUGGAUUUUACAACCGAUCCACAGCUAUUUCAGCCUUUGAAGCUCAUCUCACCGUAUUAAGGUAGAAGAUAUAUAUGCUUUGUUAUAUAUAUAAACAUAGUCUAAACUCAUGUAAUAAACAUACCAUUGAUUUAGUGUCCUGUCAUGUGAAUUUCUUUGAGGAAUGCUGCAGGCAAAGAGGUGCAAUUUUAGUGGACAAUUUGGAAAUAGAAAAUGUUGAUAUCAUAUUGAACCCCUAUGAAAGUGGUGAAUCAACGGCCUUGUUGGCUGAGUUCAAGCUCAACAUAAAUGAAUACCUGAAAGAGCUCACCCAUUCUCCAGUGAGGUCCCUAGCAGGCAUAAUUGCCUUCAACUUGAACAACUCCGAUCUGGUAAAUACUCCCCAGAGUGGGGAAUGAGUUAUGAGAACUCAGGCAUUUGCUAAUUGGUUUUGUAGAUAUAUGAAUUAAGCCUUGUGCCAUUGCAGGAAAAGACUGAUGAAUAUGGCCAGGAAGUCUUUAUCGCAGCAGAGAUGACAAAUGGGAUUGGGAAGCAAGAGAGGAUGGCAAUGGAAAUGAUGGCAAAUCUGUCUCAGGAUGGGUUUGAGAAACUGAUGAUGGAGAAUAAGCUUGAUGCAACGGUGGCACUGGGUUCAGGCAUGGCCACUGUACUGGCCAUUGGAGGUUACCCCGGAGUUAGUGUUCCAGCUGGGUAUGAUGGAGAUGGAAUGCCCUUUGGCAUAUGUUUUGGAGGACUGAAGGGGAUGGAGCCAAAGCUUAUUGAAGUUGCUUACGGAUUUGAACAAGCCACAAAGAUUCGGAGACCUCCUACUUCCCCUAAUAACUUAUUGUGUCCUAAUGAGCCAUUGUAAGAGUUGGAUUUUGUUUUCCGCAAUAACAGUGGUUAUAUAUGUAUAAAUAAAUAAUUAAAAUUUUUGAAUAACUAUUUUUUAUCAUAACUAACAAAUAGUUAUGUUUCUAAAUUUGUUUAUUAACUUUUCAAGCAAUUCUCUUAGUUUUUCUAAGUUAUCCAAAGGUCAUCCGAAAAAUUUUAGUGAGGGUCUAUAAGUUCAUCUAUCUUUAAUAAGUCUAUAUCCUUGGACUCUUUAGUGGUAGUCACUUUUGCUCUAGAUCACUCAUGGUAGAGACCUUAAAUUUUUCUCAUCACUUUAGAGUUAGGGAUGAGUUUACCAAGAUUAAAGGUAGGAUUCAUAAAAUCCAUCAAUUUUGUAUGGAACUCUCUAAAACUCUUAUGAUCCUCCAUCCUAAUAGUCUCAAACAUAAAGCUUAACAUUUGAAGUUUGGAUACUUUAACGACAUUGGCUCUUUCAUGAGUCACUUGGAAGAUAUCCCAAACCUCCUUAGCCUACAUGUAACAAUACCAAAAAAUUCAUAUGUGCUAAUAACAUUAAAAAUGGAAUAUAUGGCUCUAACAUUAUUUUCACUAGUUUCAUUUUCACCUAUAUCUCGUUCCAAUUUAGGUUUGACAAUAUUUGUUAGUCUACCUUCUCUAUCAAAUACCUUAGGUGGAGACCAACCAAAUUCAAUAGCAUUCCAAACUUUUUGUUUGCAUUUUGAGAAAAAAUAUUGCAUGUGUACUUUCCAAUGAGAAUAAUUUCACUGGUUAAGAAUUGUGAUCUCCUAAUGAAAGCUCCUUCUUAAUAAGAUUUCAUGAUUAAGAUUCAAGAAUUGAAAAAUGAUUUUUAUAGUAAAAAUCCGUCCAUAUACCAAUUGAGGAUGAAUUGAAUGCAAUUCACAUGCAAAUGAAUUAACAUUCCCCAACCUAAAUUCGUAAGAAUAAUUAGCUCCUCAACACAUUUCUAAUUACUACUUAAUAUCAUAAUCAAAUUAAAUAAAAAAUUAUUUAAUAUUUUCAAAAAUCAAACUCAUUUAAACUCAUUUUUCACCUAUCCAACAUAUGCUCAAGUAUGAAAUUGAGAUCAAUAAACAAGAGAGAAGAAUAAGAGAGUGACGAUAACACCAAAUUUUAAUGUGAAAAAUCUCCUAAGAAAUAAAAAGUUAUGGGUCUACCAAUGAUCAUAAGUUUACACUAUGAAAAAUAACAAACUGAGCACAAUGCUUUACCUAACUCAAGUUUAUAUAUCAUUCUCGAACUACUUGAUCAGUAGCUUCCAACUUCAACUUCACACCUUCUUUUGGAACACAUUUACAAUCUAGACCAAACUUAAUCUACAUAAGAAGAAAAUGAGUUUUCAUUCAAACCUAAAUCAACAAGAACACGAUAGAUACAUGAAAUAAAUGAAUAAGCCCGUUUUUAAGAAAAUCCAAUUGAAAAACAAUAUGAAAAUCAAGAUAAAAGAAAAUUUUCUCAAGAAAACAAACACUUCCAAUUUGGAAUAAGAAAGAGAGCUCAAAUGGAGUGAAAAACGGUUGUUUUUUUUUUUCCUAAACUAGAAACAUUUGAGUUAAAUAUGAAGAGGAAACCUUGAUCGAAUGACUAAAAAAAGAUCCAACAAAAGAUAGACUAAUCUUUCUUAAAUAUUGAUCAAUCCUGGAAUAGGGUACAAAAACACUUAAUAAAAAAAUUGUUGGCUCAACUUCCUUAACCCUUUUAAAAAUCAAUAGUUCAAAAAAAAAAAAAAACAGAAAAGCAAUUGAUUCACAUUCAUCUACACUAUCAGUUAGAUACUUUGGUCUCUAAGUAUUUUUAGCAUCUUGAUCUUUACCAGGUAGACCGAUGAUUUUUCACCGUUUUCACCUAUUUUUCAUUUGAUUAAUAAUUAGUGGCCUAUAUCGUUUCACGAUGAAAUUUCAUCGAAAUUUCGUGAUAUUUUUUGAUAUUUCAAACCAUGCCCUUAUCUAAUACAUUUAUUUAUUUAUUCCAAUUUUAAAUUUUAAAUUUUUAAAAUUGUCGGUUGAUAAAUUUGUUAAAAUUCCAUCCAAAUCGUUGACAAUCUACGAACACAGCAUCCAAGUCACAGCUCCGUGCAUUCACGUGUUCUUCAUUUCUCUCUAGCUGUUCUUUUGCGCUAUUCACAAGCAUCUAGAUUUUUUUUUUUUUUUUUUUUUGCGUUGACUUCUAAUCUGGGUUCCAGUUGUGGUGGAGUGUGGGACUGGAAAAAGGGUAUUUUGAGUUUUGGAGAAGUCUCCUGUUGUUGAUCUUGAUUCGUUUGUUGGUGUUUUUUUUUUUUUUGCCUGAAGCUUUUCUGUGUUUUACUUUAAUGGUCUGUAAAUGGGUUCUCUGGAAAGCGGGGUUCCGGUGAAGAGAGACCCUCUUCUUCGCUCUUGAUCGAACUAAGGCUAGCUUUUUCAGAGACCCAUUUUGAGAUUUUCAAGGUUUCUGUUCUUCAGGAAGCUGCUAGAUUUACUCCAAUGGGUGUGCACAGUGGCGAUGUUCUGCUUCUUUGUGGUUCUAGUCCAUGUGGUUUUGCCGGGUUUGAUAAUGGAAAAAUCAGGGAUUCAUUGAAAAAUAUGGAGAAUAGUUAUGGGGAUUUGAGUAGUAUCAAAAAAUUGGUGGGUUUGAUUUUGGGGAAGGUAUUAGAUUUGAGCCGUCAAAGCUUCUUUAGAAGUUUCAGAAAGAGGCUAAUGAGAUGAAUCUCUCUUCCGCUUCAAGGUUUGCUCUGGUCAGUAUUUUUACAUUUCUUUUGCUGGUUUUUUUUUCUUUCUAAUUCGCUGAUUGCAUGUUGUUUGCAUCUUACAAUCCUUGAAUAAUCUGAAUUGAAAAAGUCUUCACGCUUCUUCAAUCAAUUAAAAUCUCCCAUUUAUUGAACGCGACUUGAUAAAUCAAAUAUUGUUUCUCCUAUAGGUUGAUUCUUUCUAGUCUGAAAAAUUUUCACUUCUCAUGGACACAAUGGUAAUGGCAAUGGCGUUUAAGAUGCUUUCUCUUUUGCUCCUCUGCGGAUUCUUCUUUUCCAACUCCUUUGUCAUCGAAGAAGCCAACAUCCAGGACAUCCAAUGGGCAUUCUCUCAAAACAAGCUCACCUCCAGACAGCUCGUUGACUUCUACCUGCACCAGAUCGAGGCCCUGAAUCCGGAGCUUCGCAGCGUGAUAGAGGUGAACCCAGAUGCACGAGAGCAAGCGGACAAGGCCGAUGCAGAAAUUAAAAGCAAGAAGGAGUUGGGGGAGUUGCAUGGCAUACCAGUGUUGCUGAAGGACAGUAUAAAUACUAAAGAUAAAUUGAAUACAACUGCUGGGUCAUAUGCAUUGUUGGGGGCGGAGGUGAGUGGAGAUGCGGCGGUGGUGGAGAGGCUGAGGAAGGCGGGGGCGGUGAUACUGGGAAAGGCUAGUAUGAGUGAGUGGUAUCAGUUUCGUUCUUUGAAAACUCGAAACGGCUGGUGUCCAAGGAGUGGACAGGGUGUGGUGAGCUUAAUUGCUUUCCUUCUUCCUAUAUUUGGUUUCGUAAUUUUGAAGAUUAAGUCUAAAUUUUGUGACUUGUGAGACAUGCAGAAUCCAUAUGUAGCAUCGGGAGAGCCAUGCGGGUCAAGCAGCGGAUCUGCAGUAUCUGUAGCGGCCAACAUGGUGGCUGUCUCGCUUGGGACGGAGACUGAUGGUUCCAUCAUCUGCCCAGCUGAUGUGAACUCCGUUGUUGGGUUUAAACCCACUGUUGGACUCACCAGUCGGACAGGUGUCAUCCCAAUUUCACCCCGACAAGACAGUGUCGGGUACUAUAAGUUACAUAGCUUUGAAAUUGAUUAUUGAAUCUCUAACAUAAGCAUUAUGCUAUUAGUAAACUCCAUGUUUAUACAGGCGUAUAAAUUAUGAAAGUAGAGCUUGUUCUAUAUAUAUCAUUGAUCAGAGGUUUCUCUACCACAGACCUAUAUGCAGGAGUGUGUUGGACGCAGUUUAUGUGCUUGAUGCUAUAGUGGGUUUUGAUCCUAGAGACGGUGAGGCAACAAAAGAAGCAUCCAAGUUCAUACCUGUUGGUGGCUACAAACAAUUUCUCAACAAAGAUGGGAUUGCAGGAAAGAGAUUGGGUGUUGUGAGGAAUCCAUUUUCUGGAUUUUACAACCGAUCCACAGCUAUUUCAGCCUUUGAGGCUCAUCUCACCGUAUUAAGGUAGAAGAUAUAUAUGCUUUGUUAUAUAUAUAAACAUAGUCUAAACUCAUGUAAUAAACAUACCAUUGAUUUAGUGUCCUGUCAUGUGAAUUUCUUUGAGGAAUGCUGCAGGCAAAGAGGUGCAAUUUUAGUGGACAAUUUGGAAAUAGAAAAUGUUGAUAUCAUAUUGAACCCCUAUGAAAGUGGUGAAUCAACGGCCUUGUUGGCUGAGUUCAAGCUCAACAUAAAUGAAUACCUGAAAGAGCUCACCCAUUCUCCAGUGAGGUCCCUAGCAGGCAUAAUUGCCUUCAACUUGAACAACUCUGAUCUGGUAAAUACAUCCCCAAGUGGGGAAUGAGUUAUGAGAACUUAGGUAUUUGCUAAUUGGUUAUGUAUAUAUAUGAACUACGCCUUGUGCCAUUGCAGGAAA